AGCGCGCGGUGACAGUGCUCCUUCAUCCGCAGCGACAGGUGCGGCAGCCGCUCCGAGAUCUCGAACGCCACCUUGGCGUUCAUGGUCGGCCCCAGCAGCAUAAGGGCCCCCUGGUGCAGGUCCAUCAUCGAGUUCACCAGGCUCGCCGGUCCGCAGAUCGCACCUGAAAUGAAAUUGCAGCUUCAGACCCGGUUCACAAAACAGACAUGACGAGCAGUCGUCCUGUCAACGUCCACGUAGCUUUGCUCAGCCUACAUGGACCGUCCGCCAGGGAUGAGGACAACUCGCGUCCAGCCAAACGCACUCGGGACACGUGCAAAGGUGGGACACGUCCACCGAUUCACAUGAGUCACGAGCACUGGACGCAAUGUGUACACGUACCACCUACUUCGAGGGAGGUCCCUUCGCCCAUGCCGUCAUCCCAUCUUCUCUUUUUUUACGAAUAUUCGAUCAAAUUUAUUUUUUAUUAUUUAUUUCUUAUUUAAAAAUGCAAGAAUUUUGUGUAUCCGAACAUAUGGGAAUAUAUAUAUAUAUAUAUAUAUAUAUAUAUAUAUAUAUAUAUAUAUAUAUAUAUAUAAUUCCUUGUAACCGUCACUAAAACUCCUAUAGAAGCGGUGUGCAAUAUUGCGAUGAAUAAUAACAAAAGUAACUGAUCCAACAGCUGGAAAAGAGAAGGGAUCGGCGGGGGGCGGUUACCUGCGAUGAUGUCAGCGCCACCGCUGAUGAACUUGGAGACGCUGUGGACGACGACGUCGGCACCGAGCCUCGCAGGCGACACGACCAUGGGAGCGAAGGUGUUGUCCACGACCAGCAUCGUUCCCUUCUCCCUCGCAAUCGCGCUCAGCCGCGGCACAUCGGCCACGGCCAGCGUCGGAUUGGCCACGGUCUCGACGUACAGGACCUUGGUUUCCCCUUCCUUAACCGCCGCCCUCACCGCGUCGAGGUCGUCGAUGUCGACGAAGGUGGUGCGGAUUCCGCAGGACCGGGGGAGGAAGUGCGAGAGGAGGGCGUGGGUGCCGCCGUAGAGGCAUCGGGAGGCAACCACGUGACCGCCGGCGCCGCAGAUCUGGAUGAGGACGGAUGAGAUGGCGGACAUACCGCUGGCGGUGCAGUAGGCGGCCUCGGUGCCCUCGACGGCGGCCAUCUGGCGGCCGAGGUUGAGGACGGUUGGGUUGAAGUGCCGGCUGUAGAUGUAGAAGUCGCGGUCGGGUCCGAGCUCACCCGAGAACAUGCGCCGCAUGGUCUCCGCCUCCAUCACAGUGAACGUCGCCGACGCCUCGAUCGACAUGUUCACCCCGCCGUGCUCACCGAACUCGUGACGCGCGUUCGCCAGGGCCACAGCGGGGUCUCCGCCCCCGCUGCCACGGGCCUUCUUGGCGGCUGGUGCCACCGCCCACUUUUUGUCGGACCCACCGUCCUUGUCCUCGUCACGGCUAGUGCUCUUGGGGUUCGAGAAGGCCGGCGAUGGGAUCGUCUCCGCCAUUAUUCCUCUUCUCUCCUAAUUCCUCGGGGAUUUUGGUGGAUGAGCCGACGAGGACGACGAAGGGGAUAAUUAUAGAAGAACCGCGUUAAGAUGCUCCGCGGAGGAACUCCAGUUAGGUAUACCAGACGAAUGAAUGAGACGGGACUGACUACGCAAACGCAGGAGCGUCCAAUGAAUCGGGUCACGUUUCGUGAGAGCGGAGAGGAGGAGAGGUCAAGAAAGCAAGCCCUAGACGGGGCCGGCGGAAACGAGAGGCUCAAAGCCCUGUCACUUGUUCGAGGUGCCGUAUGUCAUUUGCGAAACGUAGAUGCAUUCAUUAUCAUUAUCUUUAUUAUUAUUAUUAUUAUUAUUAUUGAUAAGAGGACGCGAAACAUGUGCUUCGCAAGGGGAGGACAUGUCUUCUUCGAACAGCUCGCGUGGUGUCACCGGAUGCAUCCUGAAGGCUCGAGAAGGACCCACGGAGUGAACCCUAUGGUUCGAGAAGGAAUCUCGAUUGGCAUUAAAGGUUAGAUUGACAGCAUCUUAUUAUUAUCUUUAUAGAUACGAUCAUAGUGGCUAGAAAUAGAUGGAAAUAUAGUCGGGUGAAGAUAGUAAGUAAUACGAGAGGAUGGAUAACCCCUUUGGAAAGGAAUGAGAAAGGAAACCGCCUUCUUUGCUUAUUAAUAUGAGUCCCGAUAAGAGCGCGCCUCUUGUGGCACUCGACAUGUUUGCGUCUGUGAUAGGGGAAGAAAAAUGGCACGAGGCAGAAAAGGUGAUCCAACGUCGUCAUCUACGAAAGCUAAGCCUCGACUUACAUUAUGUAUUAUGGUGCACGGACUCGUUGACUGAGUCAAAAGAGGACAAUAAAUUAUUUUAGUAUAACAAAAUAUAAAAAUUCUGAAGAGCUUCUUUUAAUAUUUAAAUUUAUUAUGAUUCAAUAAUAGUUAAUCGAUGAGAUAAAGAGAGAAAGGGGGGAUGGUAACUUUUUUUGUGGAAUCGUAGGCGUUGGAGGUGAUGCUUAUCCGAUUCCCGGAGUCGUAGAGGAAGCUUCCACUGGAGUCGCUGUGCUCAAGUCUUCGUCGCCCCGGUGCUGUGAAAUUUCUGGAGUCGCUGUGUUCAAGUCUUCGUCGCCGCGGUUGCCUUAUCAAUACACUUUUUUGAGCCACUUGUGGGGGUCUUUCUAAGAAGAAGAAAAGACAUUGAUUUAUUAUUAUUUUUAUUAUUAUUAUUAUUAUUAUUAUUAUUAUUAUUAUUAUUAUUAUUAUUAUUUUAUAUAUAUAUAUAUAUAUAUCUACUGUGAUGCAUUAAUAUGUAGUUGGAGAAAGAGACGUGAAUGAAUGCCCGAUUAUGAAAUACUCUAAGGAUUUAGAAAAUAAAAAAAUUAUAUUUUAAAUAUAUGUGGAUGUAAGUUUUGUUUAGUAAAAUUAUAUUUUAAAAGUCUAUUGAAUGUGCAAUUAUGGAAUGCUUUGAGUGUUGGAUAAAUAAGAAAACUAUAUUUUAAAUACGUAUUGACAUAAAUUUUUUGAUAAAAUUAUAUUUUAAAAAUAUAUUAUAGAUUUUCAUGAUAAAUUUAUUCUUCUAGUAUUUUUUAUAUUUAUUCAAACAUGACGUACGUGUUGAUCCACUGUGAGGCAUUAAAGUAUCAGUAAGGUUAUGCUUGGAAAUAUAUUUAUAUUUUUAAUAUAUAGUUGGAGAAAGAGGCUUGAAUGAAUAUGUCAUUAUAGAAUAGUUUGAGUAUUUGAUAAAUAAAAAAUUAUAUAUAUAUAUAUAUAUGUAAAUUUUGUUUGGUAAAAUUAUAUUUCAAAAGUCUAUUGAGUGUGCAAUUAUAGAGUACUUUGGAUUGUUUGAUAAAUAAGAAAACUAUAUUGAGUGUGUAGUUAUGAAAUGUUUGAAGUGUUUGAUAAAUAAGAAACAUUGUCGUUUAUAUAUGCAUUGACGUAAAUUUUAUUUGAUGAAAAUAUAUUUCAAAAAUAUCUUGAAUAUUUUUGUGAUAAAUGUAUUCUUCUAAUAUUUAUUCAAGAGUAAAUAUAUAUUUAUUUAAAUUAAAAAAGUAAAGAAAAAAUAUAUAUAAUCUUAUAAAAAAUUUCAUAUGACAUAGGUAUAUAACAAAUACAAAAUAUAAUUAUAUAAUCAUGAUGAAUCUCGAAUUUUGAUGCUAAAACCAAUUGUUAAUGUUUAUGAUUUGUUUUGUAUUUUGAGUGACGUAAGAAGCUUUGAUCGAGAAGAGACAAUUAAAACAGGAAAAUCAUGUUGGGCUAGAGAAAAAACAUGUCAGAAGAUUGGACGUCAAGCCGAAUGAUCGGUCGACGUAUCGAUAGAAUGCUUCAGGGCACGGGUUCAGGCAUCGGGCCAAGAAGAGCGAAAAUUACGCCAAGGAAAUCGGAGUUGCAGAGGUCAACUGGCCGAUUGGGCUAUAUAUUGCAAAAGAGGAUGAUGCAUUGAAGAAUCAGACAAAAUCGAUGAACCAAUGACAUGACGGAUAAUAUUUGAUUAGCUUUGUAAUAAUUAUUUAGAUCAAAAUAGGUUUUAAGUGUGCAGGAUUAACUACGAUAGUGAUCAAAGCAUAAAAACAUCUCGUUCUUGACUCUGGGACUUCGUUGGAAGUUCGAGAGUUCGUCGGAAGUUCUAUCGGAAUUGACCGGGAAGUCUAGGAGCUUGCUAGAGAAGCUCGUAUGAACUCGCCAAAAAGAUCAUCGUGAAGUCUAGAAGCGUGUCGGGAGUCCAUUGGAACAUUAUCGAGAAAUAAUUGGAAGAUUAUCGGAAGCUCGCAGGAAGAAACUUAGACUUAUCAGACUUAUUUAGCUUAGUAUAUAUGCCUUAAAAUUCAUAGUUAGCACAUAAUUGGGUUGGAAUUAGGCAAACUCAAUUAGAGGCCAAUCGGGCCUAAGUUUGGGCUAUGUUAGGCCAAGUGAAAUACUCAAACAGUGACCCAACAUAUGGAACCAUCAAUCCCAGACUCAAUCUCCGAGACUAUCAAGUGGUGGUACCGCCUAGACACACUCCCAAGCGAUGGUACCACCCAGUGUCAGUGCUAUAGGCCAUAGUACCGCUAGUACCCGGAAAACCCAAGAUGAGACCUUUUUUGACUCAAAUUUUGAAGUCAUUUUAAGUCUAUAAAUACCCCAACUAUUCCUGCAUGGAGCAACAAGAAUUAAGCACGAAAUUGAGUUAAAAAAAGGGAAAGAAUACUUGAAAAAAAAAUAGGAAACUCUUUUAGGAUUUAGGAUCACUUCUUUGUAAUAUUUAGAAGUUCAUCUAAAGGGAGAAGUGAGGUCUAAGAAAAAGAGGCUUGUAAGGGUUGUCUCCUAAACCUGUGAAAAGGAAAUAUAGUGUAAAAGGGUGGUUGAUCUUCGUCUAUCGAAAGAAAAUCAUUAGUAGAUGUCAAUGGCUUCGGUGGAAGAGGAAUCGGGAAUGGAUGUAGGUCACGACGACCGAACCACUAUAAAUCGGUUUACAUUUUUAUUCUGUUUUUAAUUCUCAUAUUGCAAACUGAUUUACUUAUUUUAUUUGCUCAUUACAUACAUUAUUGUAAACUUUUUAAAAUUAAAUACUUUUCGAUACGAUAUUUAAUCGUACGAAGAUUUUUCGAAUUGACGCGAUUUUAUCCAUCGCACUAAUUCACCCCUGUUAGUGCCGACUCGAUCCUAACAAAUAAAAUAUAAAUAUAUUUUUAAAAAUAAAUAUAUAUAAUAGAAUCUUAUAGAAAAUAUAAAUCAUACUAAUUUCUUACUAUAUUAUUUUGAUUAUGAGAUAAUUUUAGAUAAAAUUAUAUGAUUUUUUAAAUUUUAAUUAUUAAUAUUAAAAAAAAUACUAAAAUAUUAAUGCUAUUAUGUGGUAACAUCGAUAUUUUAAGUAUUUUUAAUAUAGUAUUAUGGUAAAAAUAUAAUUAUAAAAAAAUUAUUAAAUAUCACUACAUAUUUGUUCUCGAACGCACUCGCGUCGAAUGAUGGAUCGGUGUAAAUAUUAGCGAGGGAGAGUGACGUUAGUGUAAGAUGGAGGACCGCCCCCACCAACUAUAAUAGGCCGUCAAGUCUUCCGUCGUUGUGUGGCAGAGUGUCCUGCACCGACUACGUCAUCUUGGUUGGCGAGUCUUGCGUUGUUCGGUGUCACUGUGGCACGUGCACCGAAGAGACUCGUGUCGUGUAAAAAUAAUUUGUUUAGAGUUAAUUUAAUCGAUAAAAUCUUGGAAAGAUUCGGUCUUCGUCGUUUCUUUUUUUAUAAAUAAAAUAAUUUAUUGAUUCGUAUAAAAAAUAGUUUAUCUAAAAAUUCAUUCACAAUCCAUUUUGAGAAUUUUCAUGGGGCCUCCAAUUUGCUCAAAUGCUUAAGAAGUCCUUGAAUUAGUUCAUUAAACCAUUGACUUGAAUAUAUCGAAUCAGUUCAUCUUCCAACAAACUAAUCUUAAAUAAUCUUUAAAGUAAUAAAAAAAAUAUAAAAAUCAGUGAAGCAAGUAUUUCUAUCAUAUUUUACUUUAGAUCGUGAAUAUUAAUAUGAGUUAGACAUAUUUUAUGAUAUUACAAUCGAUCUUGUUGACGUAACUAAUUCUAUUCGAAUAAAAAUGUUAUCUAAAUCUUUGUAGUUCGACUAAUUCUAUUCCAAUUAUGAAGUACUUUAAGUAUUUAAUAAAUAAAAACUUAUAUUUUUAAUGUAAAAGAUUUGUUUGGUAAAAUUAUAUUUCAAGAGUCUAUCAAAUAUUUUAUAAUGAAUUUAUUCAUGUAAUAUUUUUAAUAUUUAUUCAAAAGUGAAUAGACACACACACACACACAAUAUAUAUAUAUAUAUAUAUAUAUAUAUAUAUAUAUAUAUAUAUAUAUAAUGUAGUACAUAUAUUGCUUGGAUAUGCAAUAAAUAUAAAAUAUAAUUUUAUUAUCAAAUAUAAUUUUUUUGAAAAAAAGAAAUAAAUAAAAUUUGAUCUUAUAGAAAACAGAAAUCAUAUUGGUUUCACACUAAAUUAUUUUGAUAAUUUUAUAAUUUUAGAUAAAAUCACAUGAUAUUUUUAGAAUAUAAUAAAUUAAUAUUAACAUCCUGUAAAUAUUUAAAUGCUAAUGCUACGAUAAGAUAGCAUCAAUUUUUAAGUAUACUCAAUAUAAUAUCUUAACAAAAUAUGAUUUAAAAAAAUAUCAAUCAUCAAUUUAUAUUUAAAAUUAUAUUAGACCUACAAUAAACCUUUCAAAUGUAUCCCAACGCACUAUAAGAGAAUCGUUCGAUGAAUGGACUGAUUGAAAUGACUGAGGGAGAGUUAAGAUGGAAUAAGAUACAGUCCGGCCCCCACCAAACAUAAUUGGCCAUCAAAUCUACCAGUGUUUUGUGGCAAAGUGACGUGCACCGACUAUAUCAUAUUGGUUGUCUAAGUCUUUCCAUGUUCGGUGGUACGGUGGCGGGGCACCGAAGAGGCUCAUAUCGUGUAGAAAUAAUUUGUUAAAAUUAAUUUAGUCAAUAAAAGCCAAUUUAUCGAUCCACGCAACAAAAAAAUCAUUCAUAAUCCAUUUUUACCAAUCAGUGCUCAUAUUUUGAGAAUUAGUUCAUUAAACCAUUGACUUGAAUAUAUUGAAUCAGUUCAUCUUGCAACAAACUAAUCUUAAAUAAUCUUUAAAAUAAUAAAAAAUAAAAAAUCAGUGAAAUAAUAUUUCUAUCAUAUUUUCCUUUAGAUCGUGCAUAUUUAAUAUGAGUUAGACAUAUUUUAUUAUAUUACAUAACUAAUUAUAUUCCAAUAAAAAUGUUAUCUAAAUUUUUGUAGCUCGAUUAGUGCUCGUAGAAGGUCUACUUUUACAAUGACCAUUAUAUAUAUAUAUAUAUAUAUAUAUAUUCAAUAAAAGCUUUAUUAUUCUAAUCUUAUUAUGUAUGGUCUUCCUCUUCUUUAUAAUGUUUCGGUGAGUUGGUCAAACAGUUGUGAUCUCACAUUAAUACGAUGUUAAUUAUGUCACAUAAAUUAGCUCCAGCACACACCUAUGGGAGGGUUAAUCUUCGCAAGCGCCAGCAAUGAAGCAGGCAGAACCGACAGCCCAUCACCAGAAAUCAGACCGGAGGCAAUGCUGGGGAAUCGCGGAGAAACCCUGCAUCAGAUCGGCGUAGACGGAAACGACCGGCUUGAUUAGCCCACAGCCUACGAUUCGCCGGAGUCUCUCCUCCUUGUCGGGAAUCGUCGUCCUACCACCACCCUCCGUGGCUCGAUUGUUGCUGGGAAUCUCUUGCACAAGCAUACGUCGUUCUCAUGUCAACCAUUCACAGCAAAAACUUCGAUCACGUCGGCGACUUGCAGAUGCGAACAGCACCGUUCGAAGUGAUUGACGCGUUAACGUUCGGUUUGGUUCUGCCACAGCGAAUGCCGCCGACCCACUACGAUCCACAGUAGUUCUCCGUAGCUCUUUUAUGGGGUAACUAGAUAUUAUUCUAUGUACGGUAUGUUUAAUAUUUGGAUUUUUAUAUUUUUUUUAAAAAUAUAUAAAUAUUUUUUUAUAUUUAUAAUAAUAAAUUAUUUAAUUAUAUUUCAUCUAAUAUCAUCGUUUUUAGACUGAAGAUAUCAUAUGUAUUAUCACAUAUAAAAAUAAUGAUAAAAAAUAAUAAUUUUGAUCCUCAUUAUCAACAAAGAGCCAUUUGCCUUGCAUGAAGCUAGAAGCAUCCGAUACGAUAGCGAAAUAAGAAAAAUAUAGAGUAAAAGAUGAGAAUCACUAUCGAUAUCAUACUUGAGUAAGCUGUUAGGAAGAAUAGUGAAAUAAGAAAAAUAUUAUUAUAUAAAUAUCACUGAUACUAUUAUUGGAUAAAUCGUCCAAAAGAAUAGCAAAGUCUGAAGGGAAGACAAAAUUGGAGAGACGAUAACAAAACCCCGUAGAAGUUACAAAAUUAAUAUAUUUAAAUAAAAAUAAAAAUAAAAAUUAUUGUUUUAUCUUUUUUUUAACAUGAUUUUUAUACGUGACGCCGUAUACUCUGUUAAUUGAGUUCGAGAAACAAAAUUAAAUAUUUUUUAUAACUAUAAUAAUACUAAUAUAAUUUGUUAAAUUAUAAAGAUGAAAAUACCAGACAUAAUUAAGAUUUAUGCGGUAUUCGGGUUACGUCAGAGUUCGCUCGAUGACAUUUUUACCGGAUCAAGGGGCCCGCUAUCCUCGUGAGAGAGUGUCUCCUGUCACGAGUGGCUCGUGUGAGCUAGAGAUGUCAAGCCAUGUACGCUUUUAUGACCUCCUCACCGGAUCAACUAACGUAACCCUUGGCCCAACGUUUUAAGCCGUCCAGACUCACUAUACCGCCGAGCCGCUACCAUCCAAAACUUGACUCUCUCGGCCGCUAAAUUCCAGCCACGUGUCCGGUCAAACGCCGCUCGGACCAGGAAACCGUGUGCCGCGCGACCCCCCGAUUCGAGUCCACGCGAAGCCGGAGAACAAAAACAGGGCGCUCUUCUGCGAAAUCCGCCAGUUUUGGCUCUCCAAAUCACUCGCCCUCUUUCGUUCUUAUAUGUCUACCGACGCUCGUCACUCUGCUCGACAAAAACACAAGCAAAACAUAGGCAAGGUGAGAUUGAGAUACCGGGAUGUGCCGAUCCGCCAUGGAGAGCAACUCUGGCCUCGCCGGGUACCCCAGGGACCGCGACCGCCUCCAGAUCCGGGGCUUCUACCUACGCGUCUCCCUCGCCGGCGGACGGAGACUGUUCCCGGGCGCCAUCACCCUCGUCUACCUCCCCCGGAUCGACGGCAGCUUGCUCGAGGUAAAUGGGUCCAGGAUUCGCGCCGCGGCCCGGGCGAUCGUGCCGCUCCACCGGAUCUGCUCGCCGGAGCUGUUCAGGAGCGGCGACACGGAGGCGGCGGUGUUCGCCAGCACGGACCGGGUGAGGGCGGGCGAGGGGGUGCGGUUCGAGGCGUACGUCGGGGAGGAGAAGGUGGUGAGAGGGGUGUUCAGGCGGCGGGGGGGCGUGUGGGGGAUGGAGUGCCGGUGCGCGGCGGAAGGCGACGCGGCCGCCGUGGCCGUGGCCGCGGCGGAGGUGUGGGUGGUGGGGGAGAAGGGGGUGUCGAUGGGACAGAGGGUGGAGGUGGCGGCGGCCUUGGAGGAGGAAAGGAGAAAGCGGCGGUGGAGGCGGGGGUUUUGCUCGAGGUUGGAGGAGAUACCGGAGGAGUCGGACGGAUGCGAUGGCUUGUGCUGCGAGGGUGGCGAGGAAGAGGAAGAGGAAGAGGGCUGGGAGUUGGAGGGAUCCGACGAUGAUGUUCGAAAGCAGGCGGGCGGGAAGAGUAUGGAGGGCGAAGAUGCUGCGUUGGAGAUGGAAGGGGUGAGAUGGGGCGUCGAUUUAGGGAUCUGGGUAAUGUGCUUGGGGGUGGGCAUGUUGGUCUCCGCAGCUUCCAAUAGGAAACUGAGAAAGAAUCUUCUUUGAUCUCUUACUUUGCCUUUUCCUUUCUUUUUUCCCUCCAUCGCCAUUCGCAAAGCGGAGUUUUGUAUCGUUUCUCUAGUUUUUGCACAAGAAUUACAAUUCCAAUCAGGUGAAGAUUGAAGCAUCAAAUUAGAUGAUCGAUGCAUCGAAAGGAAAGCUUAUCUGUUCCUGUCGGAGAUGGUAGAAUGCAAUUGUCUCAUGGGUCGAUUGGUCCUAAAGCUCUGAGACGCACAAGAGAUUGGGCCCUGAGAUCACUUUAUACAAGCAAUUGUCCACUCUUGAUUCGGCUAAUUUGGACCAUUUAAUUUUGCAUAUAUAUAUAUAUAUACACAUGUACACUUUUAAAUAUAUUUUUAAUAUUUUAUAAAAUUAAAAAUAAGUGCUUUAUUGAAGCUGGCGCUCUUCAUUCGAUGUAUCUCUCCCUAAUCAUUGUAUUUCUAUAUUUUGUUUUGUUCUGCUAGUAUCCUCAAUUAUUAUUUUCGUGUUGAUUGGAAGUUUGGUUUUAAUUAGCCCUAGUUUGGAUAUGGUUUAGGUGAAUUUACUCAAAUAAAAAUUGGCUUAAAAAUCGGUAGUUUUAAUCUUUGUAGUCUUACCUACAAAGAUGAGAAUCUUUAUUGGUCAGCACAUUGGAAGAUUAAAUAUUAUUUUACCUUGUAAAGUUAGCACAUUCCAAUAAGAUAAUAGUUUGUUGUAUUUAUUAUAUAAUGAGUUAAUUAAACUAUUAAUUUAUCGAGUCUAAUAAUGUAUUCAUUACAUUCUUAUAAAUCGAUCAGCUAAAUCAUAAUAUCAUAUGUCACAUUUAGAUUGAUGAAGGAUAACUUCCAAGUGUCAAAGAAUCGUGUACAAGAACAAAUAUACGAUGGAAGGUGCUCAUUGAUAACGUAUAUUUUGGGCCCAAGACACGUCGGAAUCCUUAUCAAGGCGCUAUUCGACCUGCGUACCACCAUGCUAGCCCGAGAAUCAGCAAGGGAAACACCCCCACACGCUAAGUCAGAAUCUGUACCGAGACGCUGUUCGACAUGUCCCGUCCCGGGAAUCCGAGGUGGCUUCGUCUGACGUUGCUCCGCGCGUCCCGAGAUGGCGAUUGGUCAGAAGUGUCAUCUCAACUCUCGAAGAUCAGGGUGUUAUGCUUACAGAGGGGUCAUGCCGAAUCUGCGUGCAACCGACCCUCAUAUAAUAGUAUAAAGCCCAUGCCGGCAUCCAGCCAAGGGAGGGCAAAAACAAUUGAACCCACAACUGACUUGCUCGUCGGAGGGGCCAAAGUCGGAAACCAUCCGAUAAAGAUUAUUUUUAUAGGCAAGCGGCCACCCCCAAGCCACGAGCGCCUCAACUUGGGAAUCGCCAUCCAGUGAAUGAAGACGAGCUGCCAACCAGCUCGAGAACGGAGAUACGCUACUCGACGCAGAUGGCGCUCGGAUCGAGAAAUGCUGAUCAAUACCUCGUUGCGAGGGCCCGACCUACCUUGACGUCCAACUCAACCGACAGAAGACUCCCGACAUCGACUCGUGGAUCGAGCCGUGCUGACUCACCAGCUCAAUAUCUCUUAUUUUCACGAUGAGACAUGAGAUUAAUUGAAGUCUUGCAACUCUGUCCGAUAAUACUUUGGAUCAUCUUUAGUGCGCCAUUUGUUCCUCCUACCUCGUCAUGAUUGAAAGCACUCUUUCAUCUUUUCUUCACUUUCUUUUCGAUAAUAAGAUGCGUCACCAAUCCAGGAGUCAUCAUAAGAUGCGUCACACUCGUGAUGUUACCCUCCACACUCUCGAGUUUUGGUAUGUGAUAUAGUCGAUACAUCAACCACUUAUACAUUAAUUUAAAGGACAAAUAUCUGUCGUUUUACCUGAUAUUGAUUACUUGGUUGGUAGCUUGUUUACUUUCUUGUCAAUUUCUAGUGGGCGUGAUAGCUUUAGAAAAAGCAACAAGUCUAUUUCCCUGAAAUUAUGCCUUCGACAUGUUGGUAAUUGGAUAAUACAUCACAUCUAUUCGAUCGACACGUGUGAUUCUAAGACCCAAUAAUAGUCGCAUAACCAUUUCUAACAUUUUAUAGAAGAUCGAUACUUUAUGAAAACUAAUAAUCUUUGACUACUUUUUUGAAUCAUUUAAAUCUUUUAAUAGUUUUUGCAGCAUCUUCAAUCAACUAUAUCUUUUCCCAACACAUACUUAUGAUGUGUACCAAAUUAGAUCUUCGUUAUAUUCCAAUUCUUUCGGGACAAUCUAAAAUUUAAUGAUGUUGUUAGUUAAACUUCUUUUCUAUCGAUAAAGAGCUCGUAGGUAUUAUAAUAUAUAUAAUUUAUUUUUUAAAAUAAAUAUUAAUUAUUUUUAAAUGACGAUAUAACAAAUGAUCAUCGUCUCAUCGAUCAUCGCCUUGAAGGCUAUGGUCAUCAUGAUAAUUAAAAAUAAUAUUAUUUUUUUUUAAAAAAUAGAAGAUAAUUUAUAGGAAUAAAGUAAAAAGAGGCAUAGUAAAAAAAAAAAAAGAGAGAAAACUUGAGAUUUUUUAAAGAAAAAUAUCCUAAAAAUAUUAUUUUCUAUUUGAGGUCAAACAAACAAACAAACAAACAAACAAAUGGAAUAAAUCUCAUAAAUAUUAUACAUGAAAAGGAUAUUCCGAUACGUAAGAUUUGCACACUAUCUUAAAUCAAAAUAUAUCGUGAUUUAAAUCAUCAUCAUCAGAUAAUAAAAAGACUAGUAUUAGCUUGAGUGCACCAUCAUACCAACAACAAUCGGAACAACGAUCCACCGUCGUUUUGGUUUGCUAAUCGUAGAUCUUUCCGUGCACAACCCCGUCCUCCCAAGUACUCACGACGCAGACACGACCAAUCAUGCUCACCCACAUUAUUCGUCCCCGAAACAUACGCUCGUGGACUGCACUCGUACGUACGUCGUCGUGUCUCGUUGCUACUAGGAGACACGACUUGUGGAACGGGAGGGGUCCGGCAAUAAUGCAAGGCAAGUGGCGGCCCGGGUCCAUUUCCCACACGAACAAACACGCCGAAGGCCUAACCCACGACACGGGUAACGAUCGAUGCGACGGCGACCCGAUGCCACCGCUUGUUCGCGUCCAGCGCGGUCGAUGUCGUGCCACCCGUCGUGGACCGUACGCCCCCGCUGGUCCCUUCGUCGCUUCCUCGGCCGAUGCACGUUAACUCCCCAAAGGCGGCCCCUUCGACCAGAGGAUUCUUGAAUCAUCGAGAAGGUACGAAAGACGGGUGGUGGCGCUGAGUGGCCGAAAGAAAACAUUUGAUGUUUUCUGUUUCCGAUAUUUAUUCCGCUAAAUUGCAGGAAAAAGCGUUGAGGAAACCCGUUACGUCCCCCUCUCUCUCUCUCUCCUCUCCCAGCUUCGCAAGCCCUCUUUUCGGUUGCUUGGCUUCGGAGCGCCGUUCAGCGGCUCGUACGGACGACACACCGUCCACCGCCACCUCAGCUCUGGGUAUUUCCCACCGCUCCCCUUUCUCUCGCUCGCUCGAUCCGACCGCUCGUCCGCACGCCCCGCCUUCCCCCUUCCUUGCGGCCCCGUUUCCUCUUUUUAUUGGGGCGGUAGUCAACGGGGAGGGAGAGAGCGACUGACGAUCGGGGGAGAGGAGAGGGGGAAUGGGGAGGAACGGGAGCGUGAGGCGCAGCUACUCGGCGUCGCCGACGGACUACAAGCUCCUGGAGGAGGUCGGGCACGGGGCCAGCGCCACGGUGUACCGGGCGAUCUACGUCCCGGCCAACGAGAUCGUCGCCGUCAAGCGGCUGGAUCUUGAUCGCUGCAACAGUAACCUCGUGAGCCCGCUCAUCUUGCCUCUGAAUUGAAUCUUUUUGCUUCCUGCUCUCUGGUACUGGUUCUUGAUGUUCUCGGUGGGGUUUGGAUAUCGUGGGACUGCCAAAGACGAUUCGAUCGGGAGUUGGGAAGUGGAUCUUUUUGGGACUCAGUAACGGGUUUUUUCUCAUCGAGAUCGCAAGCGAUUGGGAUCGACUUCACUCCAUGGUCUGUUGGAAAGGAUUUACACGGUCUGUUUGGAUGAAGGCGAUUGAAGCUAGUUAGCUCGUGUUUUGAAUUGAUUGAACCUGUCUGUUGUUUUGUUCAAGAUUUAGUAUUGGUGAAUGGCUCUUAAAGUUUUCGUCAUUCAAACAAUCUGCGUUCUUGACCUUUAUUAUUUCUGGCGUGUUGGGUUUCCAGUAACUAGGAUGGUACGACCCCCGUCUCCGUUUUGAAUCUUGUCUCUUGCUUUUCUCAGGCGCUAGUUCUCCGUAUUGAGGGUGGGUUUUAGAUGGUGUGGUGUUGUGAAAAGCGGAUCGGCUCCUGAGUUGGGAAGUGGGUUUCGUGGAAUUUGAGAUCUUUUUGGGACUUCGUAAUGGGUUUCAUCAUCAAUAUUUGUUUUUGCAAGCGAUUGGGAUCGGCUUGUUCUAAGAUUUGUGAUUUCACUUCGUAGACUCUUGGAAAGGAUUUUUUCGGCCUAUUUGGAAAGGCGAAUUGAUUAAUCUAGUUAGUUUCUACUGGCGAAUUGAUUAACCUGUAUUUUCUCUGUUCAAGAUUUAAUAUUGAUUAUUUGCUAUAGACGUUUUUAUUCAUCCCUAGCCCUCUGGAUCUUGAUCCUUUUUUUUUUUUCUCUGGUUGAUUGGUUUUCAGUUACUAGGAAGGUGUGCCCCUCCUGUGUUUGAAUUGAAUCUUGUUGUUUGCUCUUCUUCUCUGGUGCUAGUUCUUGAUGUUGUUGUCAGUAUGAGUUUGUGAAAAGCAGACUGGAUAUGGAGUUGGGAAGUGGGUUUUAUGGAAUCUGAGAUCUCUAUGGGACUUUUAACAGUUUUCCUCAAUCACAAUAGCAGGGAUCAACUUGUAUAAAAAGUUCCAACAUCACUUCGUAGACUGACAGAAAGGAUAUUUAUGCCUUAUUUGGAUGACAGUGGUUGUAUUUAGUUAUCUUGUGUUCUUGAAUUGAUUGAACCUGUUUGUUCUUUUGUUCAUGAUUUAGGAUUGCUGAAUGGCUCUGAACCUUUUAGUCACUCCUGGUAAUCUGCAUCUUUGACCUUUAAUUCUUUUCCCAGUGUGAUUGGUCUUCCAGCAAAGCUGCAAGGCUCUUGCUUGUUGUAAUUUGUAAAUACUUUGCCUUCAUGUUUUGUCUCACGUAUGAUAGUGCUUUGGUUGCAGCUAAAGAACUCAAUCUCCAUUUCUAUCAGUAUCAGUAUCAACUUCUUUUUUAUAAUAUGAAACGCUCCCUUAGUUUCAUUUUAAAGGUUUAUUUGUUGUACAUAUAAUUCUAGAACUUGUACUAAUCAAUUAUGUCAUCACCAGCAAAGUGCCACUUCCCUGCUUGUGGGUAGUUGUCUGCCACCGAGGGCAGGGGCAAAUAGACGCGAUGAACCAAUGACCCCUUGAAAAGGGACCCGAGUGCUUUGAUCAUCCAAGCUAGUGGACAUCGGCUCUCUAACAGAUAGUUGUGUUGUGCAUAUCAAUUUAGAUGGCAUUUAUAAUACAUGAAUCGAUAUUCAUUAUCUGUUUAUCAUCAUCAUCAAAACAUACAUAUUUUUGUGUGACCUGCAAAGGUGCAAAUUCUAGAUUAGCUAUUUAUCAUUUCUUUUUGUUAGCUACAUGGUCACUGACAUCAGGGAGGCACAUUUUCUCUAAUGAUUUGGGCUUGUUCUUUAUGUCAUUUAUACGGUGUUUUCUUCAUUAAGUUGUGAUGACCAAGUUGCUCUAUAUAGGAUGACAUAUGGCGGGAAGCCCAAACAAUGAGCUUGAUAGACCACCCGAAUGUAAUAAGCGCUUAUUGUUCAUUCGUUGUUGAACGAUUCCUUUGGGUGGUCAUGCCAUUUAUGGCUGAAGGCUCGUGCUUGCACCUGAUGAAAUUUUCAUAUCCAGAUGGAUUUGAAGAACAUGUUAUAUGUUCAAUUCUUAAAGAAACAUUAAAAGCUUUAGAGUACCUUCAUAGACAUGGGCAUAUACAUCGUGACAUCAAGGUUAGUUUUUAUGUUGGAUUUCUUCUUUAUUAGUCAAUUUUACACCACCAAUUUUCAUUGCUCAAAAAAGUUUCUCGCUCCAGGCUGGGAAUAUCCUCCUUGAUAAAUCUGGUGUGGUGAAGCUUGGAGACUUUGGUGUUUCAGCAUGCAUGUUUGACAAAGGUGACAGGCAACGUGCAAGAAAUACUUUUGUAGGGACACCAUGCUGGUGAGAUACCUUUUUUUUUUGUAUCAUUUACAAUUUAAGUACCCGUUUCCUUGGAUUAAAUUUUGGUAAAUUGUUUCUAUGUUAUUAAUAUAGAAACUAGACAAGCUGUUAAUUAGUUUUUUCUGUGUAGGAUGGCUCCUGAGGUGUUACAACCAGGAAGUGGUUAUGAUUUUAAGUAAGUACUAUCUUCAACUUAAAGUUAUUAAUAUAUUGCAUCAAGUUUUGAGACAAGAAACAUAUCUAUAGAUUGUCAGAUAUUCCUUCAUUUUUGAUGCACAAGCAUGUUGAAUAAGCUGUACGCACUCAUUAGCUUUCUAGGCAGUUUAAUGAUUCUUGUUAGAUUACUUCAAAUCAAGUGGCAACAUAAGGAAGCAUAUUGAGGAGAACAUAUUUAUUUAUAUUUACAAACAUCAGCACUGCAGACCUAGAGACAUGUUUAUAGAGUAAAGUAAUCAGAAAGCUAGUGAGACUAGCAGUCUACUAGGUAUGGUUAGUGAAAAGCAUACCUCAUUGGUUAUUUCAUUUUACUUCUUAAGUUAAAAUAUUUAGAGAUUAUCCAAUGUUGUUUUGUGAAUUGUAGCUACAAUAAUUUUCUUAGUGUGAACAUAAUGCUUCUUUAUAACAAUUUGACAGUCUAAUGCUUUAUUAAUGCGUUGAUGGCAUGAUAUAACCAAGCAACCACUUCCGUUUUUUGUUAAUAUUCAUUCCGAAACAAAAUCAUUAUGAUGUUCCUUUUUCUUCUGAACGCUCUAAACUUCAAGAUUUUUCCCCUCAUUCAACCUGUAAUUGUUGUCAAAAAAACACUUUUAUGGUUAUCUUAUAUUUUUUACCAUGAUUUAUUGAAACAGAAACUUUUACUUCCAGGAAGCAUGGCUCCAGGAUUUCUUGAAUGAAUAUGAAUAGCUAAAUUACAUUUGUUACUUCUUAGUGCAUUUUCUUGAGGGCUUCCUUUCGUGCCACAAUUAGUUGCUCCUUUGAGGUGUGAGUGUCAAGAAAGCAUCUAGGGAAAUAGCUUAUGCACAUUGACCCACCCCAAGCCCUGGUUUGUUGAAGCCUCACUUGGCUGUCCUUCGUGCAAUUUUUUCUGUGGAAACUCAUCUAAUCUAUCUUAGAUCGAGGAGAUGGAUUUUUAUCAAGUUCUUCAUCAUGGGUUACCAUGGUAAUCCAGAAAAAAAGAACACAAGUUUUUCUUGUAAUGAAAGCAAACUUCACUACUGUACAUUUCUGUGAUAACUUCUGUUUGUCAAUUUUACUCUUCCCUUUCUUUUGAAAGCUUCAAUUUUUCUGUUUGAUUUGGAGUAUUUCCCUCUAUAGAUGACUGUAAAGCCCAUAUAAUACUUAACUAGGUUGGAUCUAUAUUUACUCUCUAUACUGGAUGAAAAUUAAGUAGUUUCAUGUAAUUAUCAUUCAGUAGAGUGGAUUGGUUUCCAAAGACAAAACGGCAGCUAGUUAGCUGUUACCCAUGUUCCUGGGCCAUUUCUUGAUAUAUCUGUCUUCUUUAUUAGCAUGGUACAUUGAGUUUUUGGGUUCAACUCUCUAUCAUGUAAGCAUUUCCAUUUAAUAUCUUCCCAUUUGUUGCCUUGGGUUUUGUCUUAGGCUGUUUUCUUUCAUGUGCACCCUUAGGUUUCAUCAUACUAUUCAUGUGCAAGAGGAAGCAAACCAUGUUCAUGGACCAUUUUCCAAUAGUUGACCUUCUGCUAUGCAGCCAUUUUAUACAUCAUAAUUUUCUAGAAGGACGACGUGUACACUUCAUCCGAUGUCAUUUGUCAUCCAUCCUUAAUUAUCUUAUUCAUUUUACUUUAAGAAGGACUUGCUUUUUGCUAGAAACGCAUAUAUGAUACUUGUGAAGUUGUGAUAUAUGUAAGAUUGUGGCUUUUAAACUACAAUUAAUUGAUAGUCUGGUUAUCAAUUAUUAUGGUGCGCAUUAUCGGUUCGUUUCGAUGUACUGACCAGUUGUCGGUAUGGUACAUACCGAGCUGUCCUGAGUGUACCGACACAGUGUACCGAUGUAUCACCCAGACCGAUCAUCUAUUGGACCAAUAUGUACUAUCCAUACCGAGCGGUACACUUCGGUACAUCAAACCUUGUCAAUUAUAAUCUUUCUUCUCAGAAAUCCAAGUACUAGUUAGUUUUGUGUUCUAAAGUGUCUCCUGCACUAAUAAGUCUUGUAAUAGUUCCAUGUAAAUGUACCCUCAAGAUGGAGUAUGUGUCGGAUGCAUUGGACACACAUUGAAUGCCUCAAUUUCCGAAGUUAAGAAAACUAAGGGGAGCCAGAAAUGUGAAUAGGAGAAUCCAACACAUUUUUUGCCCAAAUCCAAGAGAUGAAUUUUCGAAUAAUUGCUGCUGCAGUUCAAGGAUUCUUAUUUCAAAUGGCUAUAUGUCACACAUCUCCUUGUUGAUUGCUUAGCCUAAGCUGCCAAUUACUUUCUGCUGACCCUAGCACUGGUAAAGUUAGAGAUAUUGCAACUGAGCAGACAUACUUUGUUUCAAUUGUCCAUGAAUCAAAUGGGUAAAAUAGGUAAUUUUAUUUAGAAAAAAAUUCUUCCAUAAUUAUACCUGUUUCGUAAGAAAUAACAUGGCUUCAUUAAUUGUGGAUCUCAAAUGCUUGUUAUACUAGGGUCCUUGAAUCAGUGGCUGGAAUGGGUGUGAACUUUUAAGUCUUUUAGUAAUUAUGCAAUAUAACACAGUUUGUAGACGUUGAAGAUUAAGAACAAAAAAUCACUAUUUGAUUGUUUGUUUAAGAUAGUUCCUGAACUAAGAGAAAUUGACGAAGUGCUUUAUCUUUCAUAGUUUCAUUAGGGGGGAUGUGCUAUAUUAACAAUUACAAAGGGCAAAAGUUCCCAUAUGUAAUAUAUAAUGACUAUACGUGCUUGCAACCAUGUGCAGUAUAUAAUGACGAUACAUGCUUGUAUGAUCUAUAUGCAUGUAUAAAUACCAUAUUUAUUCACAAAUUUUGGUGUCUAACCGUUCCAAAUGAUUUGAACCGAUUCAUAGGGUUUUGACCUUUUAUAAACAAAACAGUUGGUUUGAUCAAAUAAUCAAAAAUUAAAAUGCAAUCAUUUUUUCUAGUAUGUUAUAGUGUUCAAUAUUUUUCAGAAUCCUCCUCCGUGUACAACGAAAUUAUCAAGAUUUUGUUGGUCGUUAUCCUUUUGUAUAAUUACCUCUUGUCGCAGUUUUGGAUAUUUGGAUGUGUGUCGAAAUCCAUUCUGAGGUCUAUGUUCAUAUAACAUACCAAGCUAUAACUAAGUUAGCUUGUAGCUGUAUGAAUUUUUGAUGAUGGUGUUGGUCUUGCUUACACUAAUGGGUUGCAUGAAAAAUAAAUUAGAUAUAGCUAAUAAAAUUGUCAUUUUUGUGCUUUUCAGAUCUUGAUCACUGAUACAUUUUUCUGCCUGCAGAGCUGACAUCUGGUCGUUUGGAAUAACUGCACUGGAAUUGGCACAUGGUCAUGCUCCAUUUUCAAAAUAUCCUCCAAUGAAGGUCUGAUUUGUUUCUGGUGAAGUCUGGCUAUAUGCUUAUUUUGUUAUAUUUUAUUGUGUUAUGAGAAGUAGCAUAGAGCCAUGGAAUACUGGCAGUAUGGUUUUCUAAUAAGUUCAGUUAAUUUAUUUUUAUGGAUUUUGCAUGACCUCUCUAUAUAUGGUACAUAAACAUAAAACUUUCAUCCUUGAGCGGUCUGAAUGAUUUUUACAAGUGCCUCUAUGUCUGUUCAGUAGUUUGUAACUAUGAUAAGUCUAUAUAAAUAUCAGUUAUUUUAUUUUUGAUGACAUAAAUGAGUCUUGUAUACCUUUUUCUUUUUAUGAGGUUUUCUUGUGUCUUCCAUCUACAUAUCAUGCUUGCUAUAUGGGAUCUUUAAUCCCUGGCUCAGAGAUUUAGUGCUGAUUCUUUCUAUUUACCAGAUGGUAUGUUGGCACAGUUAAUUUUAUCACAGUGUUCUGCUGGAAAAAGAACCAAAUAAAAGUUGGACAAACUUAGAAUGAAAACCUAUCCGGGCCAAAAUUUUACAGUGGUUGAAAAAUUCAGCACUGGAUCCCACUUAACUGGUUCACGGUCAGUCUGGUUCCAGCUUGAUAACGGGCAAGAUCCAGGCUGAACAUGGUAGACAUCUUUGAUAACUAAAAGCACAACAUAUCCAUGUUUGAUGUUAAUUAUAUGUGCAACUAUUUGAACUUUUAAGCAUCCCCAUUUUAAAUUUGUUCAAGCAAGACUCAGUUUGAUAAUAUUUACCAAUUUACUGUAGGUUCUCUUGAUGACUCUCCAAAAUGCACCUCCUGGACUUGAUUAUGAUCGUGAUAAAAAGUUUUCGAAGGUAUAAUGGUCCCUUUUGCUUAUGGAUGCUUGACAAUAUGUAGAUUUCAUGAAUUUUGAUCCAAAAUAUUAUUGCAACUUAUAUUGGUAAGCCUUCUAACAACGAUAUUCAGUUGUACUCAGUCUUUUAAAGAAAUGAUUGCAAUGUGCUUGGUUAAAGAUCAAACAAAGAGACCGACGGCGGAAAAAUUGUUGAAACAUUCAUUUUUCAAGCAUGCAAAGCCUCCUGAGAUAUCACUGAAAAGCAUUUUAUCUGAUCUUCCACCACUUUGGGAUCGUGUGAAAACACUCCAGGUUAGCCCUCAAUGUUAUCUUUUUUUAAUUUUGUUACUCCUUUUGCCCCUUCUUGAUGACGUGAGGCUGUCAAAACAUGAAAAUUUUCCAGCUUAAGGAUGCUGCACAACUAGCUCUCAAGAAAAUGCCAUCAUCUGAACAAGAAGCAAUAUCACAGGUUGGUGGUACUUUUGACAGUACAAGUUUGCUGCUGUUGAAGUUGAAAAUUUGACUUCUUCCUACCAAGUUCUUUGUUGAAUUACAUUUCUCUUCUAUUUUUGAGUUGCAGUAUCGAAUUAUUUCCAUAAUUAUUAGAACUCAUUAAGAAUAUAGUAAUUGGAUAAUAGGCCUUUUUAUCUUAAUGGUAUCUCUAAUAUGCACAAUUCUUGUUUUUUUUUCAAGAUGAUAAGUAUGCAAAAGUAUUAUAUCUAUACAUAUUAGUAUGUUUUCCUGCAUAUAUAAACAUGCACAAGUAUGCAGAUGGAGAGUUAGAGAUGAUGGGAUAAGAAUCAUCCAACCUUGAUGUCAUUCUGUGCAUCUCAUUGAGGGAUCCAAAAUCGGCUAUUUAUCUGAGUGAUAUCGACUAAGAUAUGAAAGUGAGAUUUCAUUUUUAAGUUUAGAUUGAAUCAUGCAAAAUUUAUACAUAACAUUUGAAUUUUUUUAAAAAAUCAUUAACUUUAUCUUACUCCAUACAUUUACCAAUAAUAACCUAUACCAUUGGAUUCCUCCCAAGAAAUCACAUGAAUUCGAUUUUUGAAAUGUUCAAAUAUAACUAGAAAUCAGGGAGAUAGAGGCCUCAUAAAUUUGAUCGGACCUUUUAUUAUACAUAUAAAGACUAAUUUAUUUAAGCUUGAUUUAAUCAAGCCAUUAAUAGUUCACAUGAGUUGGCUUAGUCCUAUUAGGUUUGGUUGAGCUAAUCCCUCUAGCCUGUAUGAACUAAUACUUAUAGACUUAACCAUGCUAUUUAGGGGCAAUAUAGUUCACUAUAGCCAAAUAUAUUAAACCAUUUGGGUCUUUCCACCAUGGUCCAGGUAUUAUUGGAAAUUUGGAAUCAUUCUUUUCAUUGAUAUUAUAUAAUUUUUAACCUGCCUCUAAUUUCUUUUUUUAAGGACUAUACUGGGGUCUUGUUUGAUUCCAUCAGGACUUUAUAUUAAAACAUUGACCAAAUUUAAGAUUCUUAGAGCUAUCUCUGGUAUCUUUAAGAUGUUUGAUAUCCUUUCAAAUUCAUUAGAUGAGGAAAGAUAGGCUUUACAUAUUUAGUCCUUUAUCAAGGUUCUAAAUACCAUAAAGAAAUCCUGCCAUUAUAUCUUUGAAAUAUAUAGUUAUUUUCACUUUUGAAAUAUUGCCUGAAUGACGGUGAUGAAAAUCAGAAGAAAAUUCCUUUAUAUAGAAAAUAUUGCACCUAAAAUUUGGUCUACAUAUAAGUAGUAUUAUAUCAGUCGAAAUACAUGAAAAGUAGUCCAACAACCUUUUGUUGCUUUGAGACUGCACUUAAACUUUUCAAGAAUAAAACAAAUUGGUCAAUUACAUUUGUAUGUAAUCGGUUUUAGCACCUAGUUGCAAGGUUCACCAUACCGCAGUGUACUGCUAGGUACGGGCGGUACAUACCAAUCCGAUAGAGGACCAGUAUAGGCAGUACAUUGGUGCGCUCUCAUGUACCGUGUGUCGUUAUGCUCAAUACGACUCGGUACGUAUCGUGUUGACAACUGGUCGAUACAUCGGUACAGACCGGUAAGGCGAAUCAUACAUAGUUGUACUAUAUCAAACACCUUAAUUGUUGACCUAUAAAGCAAUCCAUUGUUAGAAAAUUUAUAAGAGAAGUCUCACCUAGAUUCACCAAAAUCAACAGUCUACAUAAUAUCUCAUUUAAUCCAAAACUUCAAAUUAGGAGUGAUCAACAGCUGAAAACAAAAUAAAAUAAAUGGUCAUCACAUCAUGUUGUCUUUUUAUAAUAAAGAAUACAAAAUAAUGUUUGAUUUGCCAUGGUCCGGUCCAUUCCAAUGUAUAUACACCGAAUCAUACGAAGGUACCUGGAAAAGCGAGAAGGGAGAGGAGAUGUACUGAAGUUAGUGGUGGGCACACAGGCUGCAGCAGCAGCAGACUUAUAGGUGGCGAUGGUAUGGAGAGCAAACUCACGAGGAAUCACGUGUGAGCCCUAGCAUCAGGGUUAAAAGAAAAAAAAAGUAUUGUAUAUGCAGCAAACUGGAUUGGACCACCCGAAUAUAAGUGGGCAAUGUCCUGGUGGUUAGACUGGUAAAUACCCAUUGAACCAUACUGAACCACGCAAAAUAAAUAAAAAAAACCUUUGUUUUGCCUGAAGUCCAUAUUACUUAUUUCUGAAUAAUCUGUAGCAACUUGGGCAAUUGAAGUACUACGUCUUCUGAAGUAAACCACUUCUUAUAGGAUGUAUCAUGGGACACCCAAAGAUGGAUGCGUGCAGAAGUUACCUUUUGAAAUGGCAUAAUGAUGAUUUUUUAAUAAAAAAAAGGCAUAUAUGUGCUGAUUUAGGCAUUUAUUGAAGUUUGACACAUUUUUGCUUUAUCCUAUGGCUCUUCCUACAGAGUGAGUAUCAAAGAGGUGUUAGUGCAUGGAACUUUGACAUCGAGGACUUAAAGGCUCAAGCAUCAUUGGUACUUUUAGUUCCUUUUUUUUUCUUGUUUGUGAUAAGGAAAUCUCUUCUUUUUAUUUUUGCUGAUAGAUCAUCAAAAUUUUAUCUUAUACUCUCUUUUUGCCCUGUAUUUCGUCUUAAAAUCACAGAUUCAAGAUGAUGAUGACAUUUCUGAAAUGAAGGAAGAUGAAGAAACUAUGAGAGCUUUUGUUGUCAGCAAGGUUGCCCUACCUCCCAUUGCCUAGUUAUAGUAGCAUCUUAUAAUUUUUGUCUUCUAAUCGAAAUGUGUGAAUUACAUGCAUUUUCAUUUGUUCCUAUGGAAAAAUAACUUGGAAGAAUCUUUGUAUAUUCAGGAUCCAUCCACAUCGAGAUCGAAUUCUGAAAAGUCAAUGUUUAACAACAAAACCAUUCCUAGGUGAGUUGCAUUAUAAUGAACUUACUGGACGUUCUUUCUUUCAUUGUAAUCUUUAUCAUUUUUGUACAUCCAUUGCAAAUAUUUUGCAUAAUGCUACAGAAGCAUGCAAUAUGUCAUGCCAUCCACACUCCUGUCAACUAAGGUUGGCUGGUGUGUCACACAGCUUCACAUGACAGUGGUGAACCAUACUGGUACCAUGCUUAUGCUGGUACUGUACAUUCCAUAGGAGCAGUUCUGUCUUUUUAACUACAAACGUAUAUACUUAUCAAGUAAAAUUACUUUUUGUUGUUUCAAUUUAUUAAUUUGAUAUUCCAUGCCCUUAAAGUAAAAAAAUGAUAUUUGAUCAACAAAGAGUUGUCCUGAAGGAUUAUUCUCCUACUCUGUUACAGUAAGUUUCUUUGAUAAGAAGAGAAACUAUAUUAGUAAAUAGCUCUCUAAACUAUGGUUUCAAUUACCAGUUUUUACUGUCCUAGUAAGAACCGGUAUCGAACAAUAUGGUCCGGUACCACUCAAUUAAAAUUUUCAAUAUUUUUUUCAGCUGUACUGAAUGAUAUGAGUCAAUAUAUUGCCUGGUCCAUCUUUACGAUACUGGUUUUGUAGAUUAUCCAAACUGGUAUUGGAUCCAGAUUUAAAACCUUGUGGUUUAAUCUUGGGUACUAGAUGGGCCAAUGGAGGGCGACCCAAUGGACAAAUCAUGUAUGCACGUAUGUGUGUGUGUGAGAGAGAGAGGGAGAGGGUUCUAAAUGUAUCUAUAUGUUGGGCCAUUUUUUGCUUUCUCAAACUCCUAGGAGAAGUGGACCUACUGUGAUGUUAUCAUAGUAGGUUAUGAAUUCAUGUCCUGGGUCUACCCACCCCUUUAUCUUACAUGUAGGUCCACAUGUCAAAGACAUUGAUCAUUAAGUCCUCUCCAACUCAUAUUUUUAUCAAGAUUGGGCUUAUAGAAUACAGAAUAUUGAAAAGAGAAAAAAAAAUCAUUAUCUUUGUGGAAUAUAAAUUGACUAAUUCAAAAGCAGUAUGCAAAAUAUGAAACUAUGCUUUAAGGCGUUACUCUAGUUAUUCAUGCAAAAUCAUUAAGUGGUUUUCACCCUUUUUUAUUCACUAGUUAAGAAGUCAUUUAUAUUUUUAUAUCAAACUAGUGAUUUAAAAAGCGUUAGGCGCCAAAAGGCGCCACGGUCCAAAAACGCCCGAGGCGCUAGGCGCUCGCCCGAGCGAAGUGAGGCGCUAAAAAUUAAUAAUAUUAAAAUUAAUAGUAUUAAAAUCAAAAUAAUAGUGUUAUGCUGUAUACUGUUAACAGUAUACUUUCGAUUUCGAAAGAGGAGAAGCGAAAGAGAAGAGAAGAGUGUAAGGGAAGACCGAGGGUGCUGAGAAAAGUGGGAGUGGCAGCGGUAGCAGCAACGACGAGUGACAACAGUGGCAGUGGCAGCGGUAGCAGCGAGCAGCGGGAGCGGCGACAGAGGCUGCGACAGUAGCGAGCAGCGGGAGUGGGAGCGACAAGCGACGACAGUGGCAGCGGCAACGGUAAAAGCGAGCAGCGGCAGCGAGAGCGGUGAGCGGCAACAGUGGCAGCGGCAGUAGCGAGCGACGACAACGGCAGCGAGCAGCGUGAACGGCGAGUAGGGUUAGGGUUGGGGAAGUCGCGCUGAUAUCGGUGCUUUAGUUGGUUCGAUUGAACCAACUAAAGCAUCAGAGAUCGAACCACACCUAAACUGCUGGUUUGGUCACCUAGAUCGCGCCUAGGCGCCGGCGCCUCUUUGAAGCGCGUCGCCUGGAAAUGAAGUGAGGCGCUCGGGCCUCGCCUCGCCUCGCCCGAGCGCCUAGGCGAGCGCCGGAGCGCCUUUUUAAAUCACAGUGUCAAACUGAAAUCUCGUUAUUUGUUAUUUUAGACACACUAGGAAUAUUUGCACAAACCAGCAUAAAGGCACUCACAGAGUGGCCGAAUUCUCAUUACCCAAAGGCUAGAAGCUUCUUGUGAGGCAACUACCAUCUUCUCUCACAUGGAUGAUUGGUCAGCAACUCAGUGUCAGGGCCCCCAUUGUUCUGCUGGGUCCUGUGGUUGAACCCCUUCAUGCAGUCCAUUGCUCGCCUCAACCUAGCUAGCAUAGGUGAAUCUUCCUAUUUAUUUCUUUAUCUUGCCUUCUCAGGGAAAAAGAUUUGGGAGAGUGAGUCAGAGGUGCUGCAUAUCAGAUGCCAAGUUAUCGCAAAAUGUGUUGAGGAUGAUAAGUUCACUUUGGUCAACCUCAAGGUUGACCAACAUGUUGAAACUAGUUUCAUUAGAUUCUUCAAUCUAAUGCAAUUUAAAUAUUUGAAGUUCACCUCAUAAUGCAUUUAUUUAAUUUUUUAACGAGUUGAAAAUCUGAGUUACAAAUAUAUAUCCAUAUUUAUUUCCUGUUUCACUCUCUUUUCUUGCUUGUCAAUCUCGAAAUUGUCUACCAUAGUGUUGGUUGUUAGUUGCUGAUGUCAGAUAGCUUAGAACAGUUGGAAAGAAAUUGGAUGGAAGUGAUCAUAAAUCUUAUAGUUUUUGGAAAGAGUAAUGUUUUGCAAAUAGUUUAUCCCCUGGCAUUUAGUGGCUCUUUACAUUUUUUUUUUCUUUUAUAGAGAUUGUACUCAUGGAACAGAAUUCUCAGAGGCAAAGUGUUCAUCAAGAGAUGAAGUAUUGCAAACAGAGUUAGUGGAUACCAGUAAUCAAGAAAGGUUUGAUGGACAUGACAAUCACAGAUUAGAAAACAAUUUAGCACCACAAACAUCAAAGCAUGAUUCAGUGUGCAACCAAGGGAAAGUUGAAGUUGGAAAGAAACAACAAACUUAUAGUGGUCCACUUUUACCUUCUGGUGUGUCUGCCAUCUCAUUGUCAGAAAGAGGGCUCACCUCAGAAAGGUAUAGCUAUUAAUAUUGCUAAAUUUUCAUCACACAUAGCAGUAUAAUCCAUGAUCGACAUAGUUCUUUUGAAAUGAUCUUGUAGAUUAUGCUAUAUGACUAGAUGUUUUGCUAGAACAUCUUGCAUUUUUGUUUACUGCUGUUAAAUAAAAGAGUUAUAUUCUUGCUGUUGUCACAACUCAUAAUAAUUGUUUUUUUUUAUAAUUGGAAACCAAGGACAUAGGUAGACCAUACCAGGUCAGUGUGAGUAACCAUUGGACUAAACAGUAUAACAGUAUUCUAAUAUGUUGCAUCGUGAUGCACGAGCAUGUGGCUGUCGUACAAUUAGAUGUUGGGAAUUAGUUAGGUUGAAGCAUCAUACUUAUGAAAAUGUGCAUUAAAAUUAAUGAUGAGAUUUUUUUACUUUGUGUCAUUCUCUAUUUCCGCUAGCAAAUAUAUUUUUCCUGUUAAUGCAGAAAUUCUAGUGUUAUUGGUUCAAAGAGCCUGCUUGAUGUAUAUUCUACAAAAAUAUUGUUCAAUUAAAUUUUCACCAUGGGAACUUGAAUUGCUUAUAAUCAUAUGACUGAACUUGAUGGUCUUUUUAGUAAUAAAUAAUGCAUGGAUUGACAUAGUAUAGGUGCUGUUAUGGUAUAGACCAAGGAUUGAAAUAUCGUACCGUACCAGAGUUUCGACAUUCGUUCGGUACGGUACGAUACUGUAUUAUACCGGUCGGUAUAUAUAUAUAUAUAAAUAUAUAAAUAUAUAUAUAAUGAUUAUAUAUAUAUAUUUAUAUAUAAAUAUUUUUAUAAAAGGCGACGUUGCAUCGUCUUUUAUAUAUAUAUAUAUAUAUAUAUAUAUAUAUAUAUAUAUACUGUCGAUAACGGGCGGUCCGUGUACCAGUCUGCUGAUGGACCGGUACGUACUGUUCAUACUAGGCAGUAUUAUUCGAAAUUGAAGACCUGGGUAUAGACUGACAAAAUGCCUUCUAAGGAAACAUUGGAUGUGUCGAAGGCCCUUUCCAAUCAGCAUGUACUCAUAACUAAAAUUAUCGUGUCAAGAAUCUUUAGUAUAAUGAAUCUUUUCUCCAUCUAGCUAUAUUAGGAGUUAUGUUCUCCAAUAAUUCUUGGACCAUUCUGCCCUUUCCUGCUUCUCAUAAAUCCCUGUGUUUAGACAUAUCCUGCUUUGGCCACCUCUAAUCUCAAAUUGUUUUACCCUUUAUAGUUGUGCUUAGAAGACAGAUCAUCCUUUCCUUAUUCUGGAGUGCUUUGAAAAAAGAUUUUAUUCCUUUUGCCUCAGCUUAAUCUUUAAUCGUCUAGUUCUGUAAUAAUUAUUUUUUCAACAUUGUCGCUCCACUAUGCAAGCUUUUUGAAAAUAUUCUAUGUUACUAAUGAAAUAUGUAUUUUCAUUUAAAGAAUACUGCAUGGUCACAGAUGAAUUAGAUGCACCUUCCACAUUGUACGUCCUGCUGUUUUGCAUUUUCUUCCCUUCUAGUUGAGUGUUUAUAUUAUCUAUGUUGCUAGAAUGACCUUGUUAUAUUGUGAAAAAGAAGAGCUCAUCUCUCAUGUAGUGCAUCAUUCUCAUUCUGGAACAGAUACAGUGAUUAUAAUAUUAGGAUUAUUAGUUUUUCAUAACGCAGCGGUUUGUUUCAAAUUCGGCACUCUUAGUUUUCAUCUCAGUUAAGUUUACAAAAAAAUUGUGCCGCAAUUAUGAUAUAUUAUCAUCACAAAACACAGGGAGAUAGCAUGUGUUGACAUCUUUCUUAAGAUAUAGAUAACAGUCUUCCUAAAUGCAGCGUACUCAUGGUUAUGGUUGUCAUGUCGAUGUCAUGUGACAUUACUAUUGGCACAAAGAUCUGAGUUCACUAAUUCUAAAUCUUUGCACAUAAUUUUUUAUGUAUCAGUUCUGCUUCUGUUUUGCUAGGACUGAAAGUGACAAUCAGCAAGGAACUGAGAAAUAUAAACGUGAUGCACGCAAAAUCACAAACUUUAGUGGCCCACUGAUGCUCCCAAACCGUGCCUCAGCUAACAGCUUAUCUGCUCCCAUGCGGUCUUCAGCAGGUAUAUAAUAUUUAUUGUUUAAUAUUCGAUUCUACGUGUCUCACAUAUGAUCUGGGUUUGUUAUGUGCUCUUAAUUGGACUGGUGGCAAUAUAUUCAAAAGCUGAUCCCUAGUGAUGUCAUUUUAGCCAUGCUGCAUAUAAUGAUCUUUUCAAAUUAGAACAUUACUCUUUUCUUUGUUUUCACUUUUACAGGUUGUGGAGACUUAUUGGAGGACAAGAUUAAGCCUAAUGUGGUUCAAAUAAAAGGCCGGUUUUCAGUUACGUCGGAAAAUGUGGAUCUUGUAAAAGUAAGCUCCUGCGGAAUUAGUCAUUCUAACUAGUUUGGUUAUACUUAUACUAAAAGAUAAUAUAAUUUUAGGACUUACCACUAUCUAACAUUUCAAGAAGGUCAUCCCAGGUACAUUUCAAUUCAAGAUUCAUAUUCCAUGAAUGACUUUAUCAUUGCAGAUACCCACAUUUCACCUUUACAUGACAUUGAAUUUUCUUUUCCAGGGAUCUUCUUCCAUGAGAAAAUCUGCCAGUGUUGGUGAUUGUUUAGUUCAACCAAAACCAGCAGUAUGCUGAUUCAUCUUAUUAUAAGCUUUUCCAUUCCUUUUCUUAUUAUUUUCUCAUGGCAUGUGUCCUCUACUGGUUGCCAAUUGCUUGGCGAUGCUGUGUAUUCUCUGCAGUAGUAUUCUCAUAAAUUCUUAGGUACAUUUUAUAUGAUAGGAGAGCAUGAAUCGACAUAUAAUAGAAGGAUAGCUGUUCCUAUGUAGAAUGUUGUACAAGAGAUAUUUAACCAUCAACAGUUACAAUGUUGUCCUUGGUGUAUCUCACUGCUCGAUAUUGAUAUUAAGAUUAAAUUUUACAAUUGUUGAACAUUGUUUUUAAACUCUUUAUCAGCAUUUUUGAGAUUUCUUUUAUCACGGUUGUCAAAGUGAGUACAGGGUUUUAGUCAAUACACCCUUAAGCCUGUGUGGAAUCCAUAAACAGACGACAGUAUCACGAAAUCAAACAUUAUUGUCUCUAUGUUUAUUGAAGAACAUCGUAUAGUUCAACAUUAAAGAUCUUAAUGCUGAAUACGUUUGAUACAAAAAAGGUUAAUGUUUGAGUUCUAUAUAAACUUUCUAUGUUGAUUUAUGUUUCAAUGAUUGAUAAACUUCCAAUAACACGAUGUAGAAGUGUCAGCAAACACAUUAGUCAAGUGCAUAUGAAGCAAAGUGCAAAGCAACUAAGAUUUUUUUUUAUUUAAACGCAUGCAGAAUUGUUUUAUAUUUAAUUUUAGUUACCAUAUUUUUCUCUAUGUAAAUGUCCAUUAUGGUAGUCAGAAUAAAUUAUAGCAUACACUGGGAACUAGUUAAAAUGGUCAUUUAUCUCCAGAUAGUAGGUACUACUUGUAACCAUGAAGUAAUUGCCUAUGAGAAAAAGAGGUCCUUUGCCGUCCAGGUGGUUCCUAUCUAGUCUACAGGCAGGCACCUGGCUUAAUGCAUUUUUAUGGGCAUAAAGGUUCCUUACACUGGAGGUCUUUCAUACUAGCUGCAUAUAUAUGGUACCAAUAUUGGUCAGUAUGCUUUACAAAAAAAAUUAGUUAAUGUUGAAAUUUAGUCAUAUCAACUGUACAUUGGCAUAUUAUAACUUGGUUGCAACCCAAGGUUUGACAUACCAAAGUGUACUGCUCGGUAUAGGCGGUAUAUACCGGUCUGAUAGAGAAUCGUUAUGGGUGAUACAUCGGUACACCCCAGUGUAUCAUGUGUCUGUACGUUUGGUACAAACUCGAUACAUAUCGUAUCAACAACUAGUCGGUACACCGGUAUAGACCAGUAAUACGAACCAUGAUACACCUAGUAUACCAUGUCACUCUAAAUCUCGGGUUGGACAUGGACAUGAUACUCUAUCAAUCGUCUCAAGCUAUAUCAUAAAAUCAUUUUAGCUUAUUGAUAGUGCCCAAGGAAUGUUGUUCCAUGGAAUGCGGGCACAUCCAACGGGGAACCCCUUUUUUGAUAAUCAGCAUGCCUCUCAUGCUUGCCAGCACAGGCCUAAAACUUGACCACAUGAAGGCAUAGAUAGCAUUGAAUGGGCCAGCACAUGCAAUUCUUGCUAGUACCUAUGACAUGAAUCGCUCUUUGGAUGUGAGUUUAACCAGAUCUGAUGUCAUGGUCAUUUUAUUUUAUUUUAUUCUAUUUUUAUUCUCAUUUUGUUUAUAAUUGAGAUUGGAUAUUAGUUUUUCCUUUUCUUUUGUUAGGUGGAAUAGAUGUUACAUAACCUCUUAGAUUUUGCUUCUUAACUAAUGCUUCUUAUUUGAAUAAAGUAAAGUUUUAAGGUUUUUAAAAUAUUACAUACAAAAGGCACCCUUUCUAGUUGUAAAAUUAGUACAUACUUGCUGAAAUUAAUUUUCCUACUUGAUAAUGAUUGAUUCUAGAUUUUUUACAGGGAGGUAUAUUAUAUUAGGUACCUGAUCAUGUUAGAAGCCAGUUCGUUGUAUCUAAAUUUGGUUUCAAUGGUAGAGUUUAUAUUAUGACAGUCCUGAACUGAUUAAUCAUUUUUCUGUGUGAUUUCUUUUUCUUUUCAUGUUCCUCGAAACUCUCUUCUUUUCUUCUUUUAAUUAUUUUUGUGCUACAUCUACACCAAAGUGGUAGUGUAGCCCUCUUCUGGAUCUAGAUCCUGCAUCUGAAUAAGAAAUCCUGAUGACAAUGGGCUUGAGAAUUGAAAGGUUUGUACACAAUAAAUAGAGGCGUCAACAACCAACUUGAAACUGUUAAUGGGAGAAAAAUCUCCCUUAAACAGAAAUUUUUUUUGUUCUCUGUUCAAUCCAGUGAUUGAAAUAGGCGCUCGGGUGAGGCGAGGCGAGGCUCGAGCGCCUCGCUUCAUUUCCAAGCGGCAUGCUUCAAAGAGGCGUUGCCCGAGCCUAGGUGUCGAGCACUUCGAGCGAGCGCCCGGGUUAAACCAAGCGACCGAACCAGCGUUUUUGGUUUGGUUCGAUCUCCGGUGCUUUAAUUGGUUCAACCGGUGCUUUAGUUGGUUUAAUUGAACCAACUAAAGCACCGAUAUCAGCCUUCCUCUCGCGACUUCCCAACCCCAACCCUGCUCGCCGCUGUCGCUGCCACUGUCGCCGCUUGUCACUGCCACUGUCGCCGCUCCCGCUCCUAUUGCUCGUUGCUACCAUUAUCGCUGCCAUUAUCAUCGUUGCCGCUGUCGCUGCUCGUUGCUACCACUGCCAUUGCCACUGUUGUCACUCGUCGUUGCCGCUACUCGCUACUACCGCUACCGCUGCUCACAAUCAGCAGCCUCGAUCUUCCUCUUACUCACACUCUUCUCACUUCGAUAAUAUACUAUUAAAUGUAUAUUAAUAGUAUACUGCUAACUAUGUAUACCGGUAACGAUAUUUUUAUUUAUUAGAUUAAUAAUAUAUUAUUUUGAUUUUAAUACUGUUAACUUUUAUUUAUUUGAAAUUAUUGUUAUUAUUUUGAAUUUUGAGACUUUUUGUUAAUGUGAUAUUGUGAUUUUGUAAGAUUUUCUUAAUUUAAUAUCAUAUUUUUAUUUAAAUAAUUAUAUUUAUUAAUUAUAUUAUAUAUUUUUAUAUUUUAGCCUCUCGCUUUAGUUAGGCGAGCGCCUAGCAUCUUGGGCUUUUUUGGACCUUGGCGCCUUUUGGCGCCUAGCACUUUUUAAAUCACUGGUUCAAUCUCAUAUUGGUCUUCUGUUUUAAAAGUUGAAAAUUUAGAGAAGCUACACAAUAAGAUAGGUAGUUCCAGUGAUAGGCAAAUUGUUCUUAAGUUCUCAUAAUAGAAAAACAUCUAGAGACGAGAGUUAUAAUAUAUGUGCACAAUAAUCUUGAUCUUACGAUUUAGUAUCAAUCGGUUUAUUUAUCCGACCAAGUACUAGUCUUGAAACAUAUAACUGAAAACAGGUUCAACACCAUUUGUUCUGUUUUAUUCAAUGAUAUUCAGCAGUAUAGAUCCUUAUACUGCUUGGUAUAUUAGUAUUAUACCAGUCUGAUAGGUUUUGAGACCGAACCGAGAUUAAACCCUUGGUGCCACUGUAACAAAAAGUUAUAAUGUUUUAACUAGCUUUGGUCAAUUACAUUGAUGUUUUUGCAUCUUUGAGAUCUUUGUAGAGCAAUAUCUUUGGUUGAACUAAGAACAAAUAGAUCCCUCAUAAUAUUUCUGGCCUUCUCACACCACUAACUCUAAUCUACUCAUCUUGUUUACCCAUGGUAUCUAUAGGUUUCUGUUGGAUAUGUUCAUAUUGUCUUAUAUGGUCUUCUCUAAUUUUAUUUUUUUCUAUCAAUAUUACAACUAAUUAUUGUCUAAUCACUAAUGACACCAUAUUUUUGUUACAAAUAUGUAUAUAGCAAAUCUUCUUAAACCUACCUAUUCUCGUGUUGUUUUUAAUAAUGAAAACCAAACUGUGUUGUUUUCCAUUAUAUUCAUUUUUCAUAGGUUUCUAAAAUAACCCAUUGUCCACUAGUGUGUGGGAAUAAACAUUUUCAAAUGAAAAUUCCAUAUCAUACACGGAUCAAACAUAUAAUUCCUGAUACAAUUAUCACAACAUUUUGUUAUGAAAAUAAUAUUGCUCAGUUGGUUUCCUAUAAUAUUUGUCUAUCUAUUAAAUUUUUUUUAGACAUUAUAGAUCUUAGUCACACGAUUCUAACUUUGCAGCCACCUGGUCAACAUCCAAAGGAAAUUAGCAACAGUAAUCCAAAGGAAUUUGGCAACAGUUCAGUACCUGCUUCCAUUGUCAUGCCCCACCUUCAGAAUCUUUUCCAACAAACAUCUUUUCAACGAGUAUAGUGAUACUGUUUUCUCUUUUGCCUUCUUUACCUGCCAAAUUCAUGCAUAUUUGCAGUAGAAUGUAACAAACUGUUUUGAGUUUCUGAUAAUUCUGAUGUACCUAAACAUGGUAUUUUAAUUAUCAGGAUCUUCUUAUGAGUCUGUUGAAUAGUUUGCAACAAAACGAGAUAGUUGAUGGUGAGUUCAAAUUUUUUCCACUGAUAUCUGUGUUCCAAAGAUUCAUGGAUUUUUUUUGCAGUGUUCCCAAGUGGAAUGCCUUCCCAAACUCAAAAUUUGAAGAAUGAGAAGUUGGUAAGUGUACCUUUCCAUUUUAUCCUCAAUUCCAUCUGCAGGUAAUUUUUCUACUGGCUUUGCAAUUCCAGGUACAUGGAGCAAAUGCUUUUGUAUCGUUAGUCCAAAGAAUUGUGUUUCUCAAAUCUGAAAAGUAUAUGUGGAUUUGUCUCGUCUUAACUAUGAUAACCUUUCCUGAUCGUAUGAUUGUUGGAGUUAAAAUAAGCACUAACAUGAGUUUACUAGUAUUUUAAGUUAGUAAAAUUGUUCUCUCUAAUUAUUCUCGUCAAAAUCUUGUUAUUACUUGGUGUUGUGGUUAGCUUAGACAAUAUUGUAGACCCAUUUUGUCCAAGUUAUGAUGAGUUUAAGGUACUUUUCAUAUCCAUCUAUGCUUACUUGUCUCACACACCUGCCAUGUAAAUGGAGGCAGCGAUGGGGCUAUAGUUGGGUCGCAGAUGGGAACAAUGUUAAUGAAGGAUCGAUAUUGCAUCAUAUAUUUUUCUGAUAGUAUUGGACAGUAUGAGUUGGUACUCAGUGUACCAGAAUCCUGCCUAUCUGACCAGUUAUCUGAUGUGGUAUCAGAUUAAGCUUUAAAUCCUUAAUUGUAAUACCAUUUUUCAAUGAAAACAAGCAAUGGAGAAAAAUAUGGCUAUAAUUGUUAUAAUUGGAAAAGAUGGCUAUAAUUGUAAUAUCUCUGAAGUUCUAUUUUUUUGUUUUUCAAUAUCACAAUCGAAGUCUUUGAAAAAUAUAUUAAUAGUGCAGCAUUUAUGUCCUCAUGGUAAAUUGCAGAAGUUGUGCAAAAUGGACUGCUAUGUAUCAUUUGCAUCUUGAAAUGUUCAGUAAAGGAGGUUUUCCCAAUCAAUGUAGCAUUAGCAUCAUCUUUUAAUAAUUGUGUGAGAAUUUUUUCCGUGUGGGUUCUCUCAAAUUCUUGGGGAUAUGUGAACUACAAUCAAAUAUGAAAGAGAAGUUUUCUGCACACAUGUAGGCAGAAAAUGUAGGUAGUAAAUGGGUAGCUAAGGUGCCACACAUAGUUUAGGCAUUAGGCAGGUGCCCAACAAUCAAAUUGCUUUAGAAAUUUUUAGAAAUCUACAUUUGAUUGUAUCAUUGUUGGUUAAUUCAUGUAUCACGGGACAAAACUAAUUAACUUUUUUGACUAAAUGGCAACUUGUAUUGUAGAUGAUGAUUAUUCAUGCAUUCGUCAAAACCAAUUCACUUGUUUGAUUAAAUGUCAGAUUAUACGUGCUGUUUAGAUGUUCCCCUGUUACCUAGCUGCUUGUGUUGAUGUUGAUCACUAGAUCACUGCCCCACCUAAGCAAGUGGUUUUUCUCCAUGCAUGGGGAAGUCUAAUUUCUUUAGUUUAGCGAUUCUUUUGGUGAUGUAUUUAUGAAAUCAUUUUCUUGCUUGAUAUUUCAUUUUUUAUUUUCUUUGUGUGUGCAUGUUAUCUGUGUUAAGGCUAGUCUAUAUGCUGCCAUAUGCACAGGCUUUUGUUUUGCCUACAUAUAUCUGUCUGUCCUUUAAUCUAUAAACAUAACCUGUAUUUGGGUUAGCUAAUAUGAUCCUUAAGAUAGCACUGGAAGGCCCUAUGGUUCAUUACACUUGCAAGACCUAAAUCUGAAGAUGUGCUUGUGCACACUGUUCUGUCUGACUACUUAUAACAUGAUGAAAUAUGAACAAAGAAAUCAUCAUAACAUUUUUCUUUUUUUCAGCUUUGAGUGAUUGAAGUAGCAAUGGCUGGAAAAAAGUCUUUAAUGUUCAUUUAUAUUUGUCUUUCUAACAGUUGGAUGCUGCAUACACUGAAAGAGAGCGACUACUGCUAAGUAAAAUCUUAGAGCUACAAGCCAGGUACAGUUAGCAUGAUUGUUUUUGUUUGUUUUUCGUUUUGCAUGAUUGAUUUUCUUUCCCACUACAUCUUGUAGAAGCAAACAUCUCUAUUCUGAGAUUUCAAGUCCUCACAUUGCAGAGGUUGUAUGUUGUGUCAAAGAAUGUCAAAAUCAUUUGGAUUAUUAUGUUCAAUCCCUUCUCUAUCUGCAUAGUGAUCAACUGCUAUCCUCACAUCCAAGAGGUGUCAAAUAUGGACAUCUAUGAUACAUAUGAAAUGAAUCAAGGUUCGUAAUUUCAUAUCGUACCGGAGUUUCAAGCUUUGCUCGGUAUGGUACGGUAUAGGCGUACUGAGCGGUAUGCUAGGGUGUACCACUUGGUACACGUAUAUAUAUAUAUAUAUAUAUAUAUAUAUAUAUAUAUAAAGGAGGCAUACGUUGCCUCCUUUUCUUCUCCUCGUCGCGUCAAACGAGGAGAAGACUUCUCCUCAUCCGCGGCAUACGACAAAGGCAUCGAAAGCCGCAGACGCCAUAGAAGCCGAGUCGCCACCUCUCCAUUACCUUUUGUCUAAGGAUCGUUGAGGGAGGGUGGCGUCGUAUCGGAAAGCAUCGAGGUUCUCCCGAUUCUCCCUCUUCUUCGAGCGCCUUCUCCCUCUUCUCUCUCGAUGCUUCUUCUUCUCUCACCACAACCAGGCCGUAGCCAGGUUGGCGGGUGGUCUGCGUACCAGUCUACUGGUGGAUUGGUACGUAUCGCCCAGUACGAGCGGUAUUAUUCGAAAUUAAAUUCAUUGAAAUGAAUUUUGUUGGUCUCUUUCCUGAUUUUUUUCACUGACCUUUAUCAAUUAUAUGUUUGAUUAUUUUAAGUUGCUUUUUAAAUUUGAAUUAACAUUUUGUCAAUUCCAACAGUUGCAGUGGCCAUUGUUCAGCCAAACUCGUGGUUUGCCCAUGUUUUUACAUAUUCAAAAUUUGUCUUAUUACAAGUUUUAUUACAAGCAAUAAGAUGGCAGAUAGGGGUCAACUUUUUUUUUUUGUUGACUCUUAUCAUAAUGAACCAGAAUACAUAUUUCUAAAUUGCACCAGCUAUUAUGAUGUUUUAAGUUAGACUUGGCUGGUAACAAGCAAAAGUUGGUUUAUCAUAAUCAUUUCCUUGACAGCUGACUGAUUCAUUUAUGUGCAACACAGGAUGAAUUCAAGCUAAUACAUACUUGAUGACUGACACUCCCUUUUCAUAAACUAUUACAUGCUAUAUAAUCUUACAUUAUAUUGCUAUACCAUCAAAAAUAUACCACUAGGACUUGUGUGUGUGUGUGUAUAAUGAAAGGCCUAAUUGCAUAUUCCAAAUCCGAUUACAUAUGUGCCUAUGUACUCUUUUUUCUUUAAUUGUAGUAUAGGGAUCAAACUCUCAGUUGAAAAUUCUCUUUUUGCUGCAGGAUGAUUGGUCUAGCUGAUGAGCUGACUGCAGCAAAACUGAUUCAUUUUCAGGUAAGUACUGCUUUUUAUAGUUCUCUCCAGUGAGCUGACCAUGCCAAUUUGCAGAUAUUGUGUAAUUUGGUUAUAGUGCCUUGAAAUAUUUUGCUUCUGCCCAGUGCAUCAAAUACAUCUUGGCUAAUUUAGUUCAUCAGUUUCGUAAAGGGGCAUAGAAGUAUCUGAUUCUGGAAUAUGAUUAUGUUAAAUGGAAACUUUUGCUAUUCUAUUUUUUAUCUGUUUCAUUCUAGCAAGUAGAUAAUUGAACGCACAGGAACAGUAAUAUGAGAACCUAUGUUCUGGUUAGGCACUUGGAAUUGGAGAGGAAAAAUCUAUAAUGAAAAUUGUGCAGUAUUUUCUUUAAUCCUUCUGCCAAGCAAGCCAUUUAAAGUAGACUUCUUAAAAUAGAGCUUUUAGAUUUUAAUAACAUUACAUCACAUAUUAGAACUUCCUCGUUUCUUUAGUAUAUUGCAAAAAGAACCAUCUGUCUGAUUUUGACCAAAAUAUCAAGAUUAGUGAAUCUAGAAAACUUUUACUGAUAGUACUGGUUAAAGUUGAUAAUAUGGGUCACAACACAGUUUUAGAGUUGGGUGUCUUUAUUACAUACGAACAGUAUACUUGAAAGUCAAACAUAAAAAACCUGGAACAUACAGUCUCACAAUAAGAUGAAUAAUCAAUUCACCCAUAAUCUCCACAUGAUAAGUUGAUAUCUGUGUCAACAUUUUGUCGUGGUUUCUAGGAUUGUUGUCAUGAUAGAUACCCAAAUAAAUAUGAAAGGAGACCUAUUCUCUAAGCAAGCCGCUGUGUGCAAUCUGUAGAAACAAAAAUAAAAUUGACUUCUUUCCUCAUUCUCAUUGGCAAGAUUCUUGGAUCCAAUUUACUACCUAUGAAGUGGUUGAAGAGAUUUUCUAAAGUUGAUUUCUUUACUAGUCUGGAUUAAUUGUUAAGGGGAUUUACAAAGUGGAUCAAUAUUUUUCCAUUCCUUGUAUCAAUGGUUAACAUUUGAUGUUGAGCAAUAAAAAAAAAACUGGUGUAUUGAAGCAGAUAUCAUAUAAGCAUAGAAAGAAACAUCGGUUAGGUUUGGGACUUGAACAAUUUGGACCAUGACAGUUGUGGUGUGGUGCCGGCAAGAUGUUGACUUGAAGGAUGUGGUUUGCAUCAUGGUAAUCAUGCGCCAAGGCAUCCUUCUGUAUAUUUUUGUCUUAUGCCAGCCAGUUGAUUCCUGUGCAGUAUCAUGCCAGUGUUUUAUCAGCACUAGGCAUAUUGUCAAAAACUAGAUCCUUAAUUUAAAGUUGAGUGCAAGUAGGUACGAGUUCCUUUUUUUGCAUACUAAACACUACAUUAUGGAUAUUUAGGGAAAGAAAAGAUAUUUGUUUAUUCUCUUCUCAAGUUUAGCAGAUUUAUAAUAAUUGGGGUUGCAGUCUAAUUUUUCCUGUUAUUAAUGCCUGCAGAAAGAAAAGACAGCUGACUGGAAUCUGUUCCAUUUAAUUUCAUUUUUACGCUGUUCCUGUUGAAUUCACAUCAACUUUGUGAAACUGUUGAUGCUCAAAUUUCAUUCCUCUUUAAGUGUGUGUGUGUGUAUAUAUAUAUAUAUAUAUAUAUAUAUAUAUAUAUAUAUAUAUAUAUAUAUAUAUAUAUAUAUAUAUAUAUAUAUAUAUAUAUAUAUAUNNNNNNNNNNNNNNNNNNNNNNNNNNNNNNNNNNNNNNNNNNNNNNNNNNNNNNNNNNNNNNNNNNNNNNNNNNNNNNNNNNNNNNNNNNNNNNNNNNNNNNNNNNNNNNNNNNNNNNNNNNNNNNNNNNNNNNNNNNNNNNNNNNNNNNNNNNNNNNNNNNNNNNNNNNNNNNNNNNNNNNNNNNNNNNNNNNNNNNNNNNNNNNNNNNNNNNNNNNNNNNNNNNNNNNNNNNNNNNNNNNNNNNNNNNNNNNNNNNNNNNNNNNNNNNNNNNNNNNNNNNNNNNNNNNNNNNNNNNNNNNNNNNNNNNNNNNNNNNNNNNNNNNNNNNNNNNNNNNNNNNNNNNNNNNNNNNNNNNNNNNNNNNNNNNNNNNNNNNNNNNNNNNNNNNNNNNNNNNNNNNNNNNNNNNNNNNNNNNNNNNNNNNNNNNNNNNNNNNNNNNNNNNNNNNNNNNNNNNNNNNNNNNNNNNNNNNNNNNNNNNNNNNNNNNNNNNNNNNNNNNNNNNNNNNNNNNNNNNNNNNNNNNNNNNNNNNNNNNNNNNNNNNNNNNNNNNNNNNNNNNNNNNNNNNNNNNNNNNNNNNNNNNNNNNNNNNNNNNNNNNNNNNNNNNNNNNNNNNNNNNNNNNNNNNNNNNNNNNNNNNNNNNNNNNNNNNNNNNNNNNNNNNNNNNNNNNNNNNNNNNNNNNNNNNNNNNNNNNNNNNNNNNNNNNNNNNNNNNNNNNNNNNNNNNNNNNNNNNNNNNNNNNNNNNNNNNNNNNNNNNNNNNNNNNNNNNNNNNNNNNNNNNNNNNNNNNNNNNNNNNNNNNNNNNNNNNNNNNNNNNNNNNNNNNNNNNNNNNNNNNNNNNNNNNNNNNNNNNNNNNNNNNNNNNNNNNNNNNNNNNNNNNNNNNNNNNNNNNNNNNNNNNNNNNNNNNNNNNNNNNNNNNNNNNNNNNNNNNNNNNNNNNNNNNNNNNNNNNNNNNNNNNNNNNNNNNNNNNNNNNNNNNNNNNNNNNNNNNNNNNNNNNNNNNNNNNNNNNNNNNNNNNNNNNNNNNNNNNNNNNNNNNNNNNNNNNNNNNNNNNNNNNNNNNNNNNNNNNNNNNNNNNNNNNNNNNNNNNNNNNNNNNNNNNNNNNNNNNNNNNNNNNNNNNNNNNNNNNNNNNNNNNNNNNNNNNNNNNNNNNNNNNNNNNNNNNNNNNNNNNNNNNNNNNNNNNNNNNNNNNNNNNNNNNNNNNNNNNNNNNNNNNNNNNNNNNNNNNNNNNNNNNNNNNNNNNNNNNNNNNNNNNNNNNNNNNNNNNNNNNNNNNNNNNNNNNNNNNNNNNNNNNNNNNNNNNNNNNNNNNNNNNNNNNNNNNNNNNNNNNNNNNNNNNNNNNNNNNNNNNNNNNNNNNNNNNNNNNNNNNNNNNNNNNNNNNNNNNNNNNNNNNNNNNNNNNNNNNNNNNNNNNNNNNNNNNNNNNNNNNNNNNNNNNNNNNNNNNNNNNNNNNNNNNNNNNNNNNNNNNNNNNNNNNNNNNNNNNNNNNNNNNNNNNNNNNNNNNNNNNNNNNNNNNNNNNNNNNNNNNNNNNNNNNNNNNNNNNNNNNNNNNNNNNNNNNNNNNNNNNNNNNNNNNNNNNNNNNNNNNNNNNNNNNNNNNNNNNNNNNNNNNNNNNNNNNNNNNNNNNNNNNNNNNNNNNNNNNNNNNNNNNNNNNNNNNNNNNNNNNNNNNNNNNNNNNNNNNNNNNNNNNNNNNNNNNNNNNNNNNNNNNNNNNNNNNNNNNNNNNNNNNNNNNNNNNNNNNNNNNNNNNNNNNNNNNNNNNNNNNNNNNNNNNNNNNNNNNNNNNNNNNNNNNNNNNNNNNNNNNNNNNNNNNNNNNNNNNNNNNNNNNNNNNNNNNNNNNNNNNNNNNNNNNNNNNNNNNNNNNNNNNNNNNNNNNNNNNNNNNNNNNNNNNNNNNNNNNNNNNNNNNNNNNNNNNNNNNNNNNNNNNNNNNNNNNNNNNNNNNNNNNNNNNNNNNNNNNNNNNNNNNNNNNNNNNNNNNNNNNNNNNNNNNNNNNNNNNNNNNNNNNNNNNNNNNNNNNNNNNNNNNNNNNNNNNNNNNNNNNNNNNNNNNNNNNNNNNNNNNNNNNNNNNNNNNNNNNNNNNNNNNNNNNNNNNNNNNNNNNNNNNNNNNNNNNNNNNNNNNNNNNNNNNNNNNNNNNNNNNNNNNNNNNNNNNNNNNNNNNNNNNNNNNNNNNNNNNNNNNNNNNNNNNNNNNNNNNNNNNNNNNNNNNNNNNNNNNNNNNNNNNNNNNNNNNNNNNNNNNNNNNNNNNNNNNNNNNNNNNNNNNNNNNNNNNNNNNNNNNNNNNNNNNNNNNNNNNNNNNNNNNNNNNNNNNNNNNNNNNNNNNNNNNNNNNNNNNNNNNNNNNNNNNNNNNNNNNNNNNNNNNNNNNNNNNNNNNNNNNNNNNNNNNNNNNNNNNNNNNNNNNNNNNNNNNNNNNNNNNNNNNNNNNNNNNNNNNNNNNNNNNNNNNNNNNNNNNNNNNNNNNNNNNNNNNNNNNNNNNNNNNNNNNNNNNNNNNNNNNNNNNNNNNNNNNNNNNNNNNNNNNNNNNNNNNNNNNNNNNNNNNNNNNNNNNNNNNNNNNNNNNNNNNNNNNNNNNNNNNNNNNNNNNNNNNNNNNNNNNNNNNNNNNNNNNNNNNNNNNNNNNNNNNNNNNNNNNNNNNNNNNNNNNNNNNNNNNNNNNNNNNNNNUGCGCUCUCCCCCGCAGAACGCACCCCCACCGUGCGGGACGUCUGUGCCCUCAAUUCUCCCCUCUCCGCGGGUGCUGUGUGUGUGUACAUAUAUAUAUAUAUAUAUAUAUAUAUAUAUAUAUAUAUAUAUAUAUAUAUAUAUAUAUAUAUAUAUAUAUAUAUAUAUAUAUUGGUUAUUGUGUGGUUCACUAUAACUGAGCAGUUGCCUUUCUAUCUCAGUUGCAACAAGAGUUAAAUGCAUUGUAUUGCCAAGAAGAAGUAGAAGAAGAAGGAGAAGAAGAAUAUAGGAGGAAUGAAGAAAUAGAGGAAACCUGAUUAGUCCGGAGAAAUUCUGGGACAAUUUGUUGUGCAGAUAUAAAGAUAUUUCUGGCUGAGAUCUUCCUCGUACUUUGUUUGUUGACUAACCUCGCUUAAGAAGAUCUAAUAGAAAGAGCCACAGAAGUGAUCGGUUACUUGGCCACAACUCAAGACAGCAUACAGUUCUAGCUGGCUGGGGAUUUGAUUUGUCAGUGAUGGGGUCCAGAUUUUGCUUCGCUCUCACAAGGACGCCCAACCCACUUGUAAAUGGUCGGUGUCAACUUAGCUCUCGGGUGAUGUCAUUUUUGUGAAUUCAUUUGUUUGUAAUUUGGUAAUUGUCACUUUGUGGAGAACCCAUGGGGGGACACACCUUACAAUUAAAUCUGCGGCACGACAAGCGGCUCACUCUCUCUUUUUUCAGGCUCUUGUUUGCUGCUGUGAUUGCAUGAACAUUUAUUUGAAGUUUGACAUUUAGGGAUCAACGAGCAGGUAACUGCUUUUACAGUCUAUUUACUGUGCUGGAUGUUAUUGAGAUAAUAUAGUAAUCAUAUUUGUCUUCAUCUGCUUUCGCUAUAUUUUGAGGCUUAGAUUUUGUGUUUAUUCAAUGUUUGCAUAAUGACAUCUCUGAGCAUCUGUGGUGUGUUAAUAUUAUUGGAGAGGCUGUGAAAAGGCGUUCUUAAUUUGUGAAAGAUUUGUUUUUUAUUCUCUCAUUAGAGUGUGCAUGAUAUCAUCGAUAGGUUGUCUCUGUUUGGAAUUCUUCCUACAUAGUCUGGAUUAUAGUUUUGGAGAGACAUUGGAAACACGAACUUACAGAAUGUAGAAUUAUGAAGGAGAGGUAAUAGUCGAAUCUUGAGCUAGUUUUGUCUCUAGCCGGACAACUGGUGAUAAGCUUCUGCUUUCACAAAGACGAUAGAUAGAUGCACGCCGGCCGGCUGCCGUGGAGAUGGGAGGGCAAGCAAGUCGCUGCAAGAAGAUGGAUCCGUCACAAGUGAGCCACAUUCAAUCCAGAGCUGCAAGCAUCGGGUGCGAGGGCUAUGGCUAACAUGUAUGAAUCAUCAGCAUCGAAUCUGCCCUCCUAGCCACUAGAUCUGAUCUCGAGUUCUGUGGCUGUGCCACGAGGAAAUCUAUCUGACCUCCGUUUCUGUGGCGCAUUGCAUUCGUUAUCGACUUUGAACGCUCGUGUUUUGGGGCACAUCCACAGGCCCAAACAAUGAAUGAAUACAAAACUAGUUCUUCGCGAAAGCUAACAUUUACAGUAUACACACCAAUUUCUUCCCUAAAUCUUUCUACACUUUCGAUGCUCCCAUGUCGAUCUCUCCAGAUCAAAAUUGAUUGAAGCCCCAAACCGAUUUCUUUAGUGAUCACAGAGAGAGAGAGAGAGAGAGAGAGAGAGAGCGAGCGAUAUGUAGUCUUGCCUCCAGAAGCCCAAUUGAUUCGUCAAUGUGGAUGAUCUUUAUCGAGCUUGUCCGGGGUAGCGCUCGCGGCCGACGCCGCCGGCGUCGCGUCUUCCUUCUUGCUCCCACUCUUCAUCUUUAUCAUCCCAUACAGCUUCUUGAACUCCUUGAUUGACUCCUUGCCGAACCCCAGACCGCCGCCGCCGCUGCCCGCAGCUGGGUCCUCCCACCGCCGCCCCGAACCGCUCUCGCUCGGGUUCCGCCCGGCGUUCGACGACGCCUGCUGCAGCGCGCUGAUCACCGACUUGAGCGCCCGGUUGGGCGAUCCACGGUUGGCCAUCAUGAUCUCGCCGACCUCCGCCGGGCUGAUCCUGGCGCCGCUGUGGAACCCCUCCUCCACCUGAGGGUACAGCUUGUGGUCCUUGAGGCCCAGGUAGCUGCUCGCCAGCGUCUUGAACGCCGUGAAGUCGCAGAGCGGGAAGUGGAUGUGCACGUCGAGCCGUCCCGGCCGCAGCACGGCCGGCUCCACCCCCUCCAUACCGCCGCCGUCGGAGCUCAUCGUGAAUACCAUCACCCGCUCCUCGCCGCAGCACGAGAAGAUGCCGUCCAUGAAGUUUAGGAUCCGAGUGAGCUGCGACUCGCCUUCCUCGCCGACGCCCUUGCCCUUGAGGUGGCGAUCGAGGUCCUCGACCAGGAUCACCGACCUGGGGGUGGUGCUGAGGAGGAGGGCCUUCAGGUCGUCGCCGCCGGCGGAGACGCGGGAGAGGUCGACGUCGUAGAUGUCGUAGCCGAGGACCUUGGCCAUGGCCGCCACGAAGGUGGACUUGCCGGUCCCGGGGCGCCCAUGGAGGAGGUAGCUCCGCCGCCAGACCCGACCGAGGCGGUGGUAGUAUGCUCGACCCUUGAGGAAGGACUCCAAGUCGGCGCGGAUCCGCGCCUUAAGUUCCGGGUCCAUCGCCACCGUGUCGAGCGUCGCGGGGUGGGUGAACAGAACCGACCGCCACCGCGGGCCCCCGCCGUCGCCGGCGCCUACGGAGCUGGUGAAGAGCCUGACCUCCCUUCGCCGGAGCUCGAGGUCAUCAGCGACGGACUCGACGUGCUGGAGGUAAGGCCGGAGGACGCGGGUGCGGUCCUGCCGGCGGAGGCGGAGAACGAGGCGGGGAACGCCGCCGGCGCAGGGGGCGUUGGUCCAGGAGACGCGGGCGCCGAGGAAGGAGUCAGUGGCGGAGUGGCCGGGACCGAGGAGGAGGAAGAAGUCGUUAGGCUUGCGACCGGAGGAGAAGAGGUUGGCGGCGGCCGCGUCCUCGAGGGAAGGGAGGGCGGCGACGUAGGCGGCGGCGCGGCGGUACAGGGGGUUCUCCUGCCCGCAAUCGCUGUACCGCGGGAUCUCGAAGUUCUGGUACGCCUGCGUCCGCUCCUCCACCCACCGCCACCACCGCCCCAAGCAGUGCACCAGCGUUUUGAACGAUAGGACGAUCCUCAGGAGCACCGCACCGCCCACCACAGCCAUCACCACCGACGCUAAACUGAUCGGUAUCAUCCCUCUCCGCCCUCACACAGAGCACAAAGCAGAGUCGAAGGAGGACGCGGAGUGGGAAGGAGGAGAAACCACAGCCGAAGGGGACGAGGACACGAAGCGUAUAAAGAAGAGGGAAGGAAGUGUGUGAGAGACCAACUCAUUUAACGCCCAACUUGUGUUCGCUAAAAUGCCCGCCGUACGUUUGACGUUGCAAAACGACAACAAAGGCUCGAACACACGAGGCCGUCAAGGUAUCUUCGGGAAACCACCAUGGCGUGGAUUGCACGAAUUGGAGGAGCAAUUAGCAGCCAUGUAUCGCCGAAGCAUGCCUCGUCAUUGGCCGCAACAUGUGUCACGGAACGGUUAGUGGGAUCUCGGGAAGACCAUCUACGUGACAUGGCGGGUCGCUUUGGCAUUUAGAAUGGGGCCCAUUCAUUGAAUCCCGCGGGUCGGAAGUUGGUUCGGCCAAUAGUAUUGAUUGCAGGGAGUCAGACGCGGAUUUGACGCGGUCGGGACAGCACCCGUUAAGCGAACGCAAACCCACUGGUUGACUUGUCGUUGGACGUAUGCAGGUGGCCAUGUGAUGCGUCGGGGCUUCGGUGGCUGUAUGAGGCGGCAGGGAAGAGUGACAGUUGGAAGUGUCCCUCGGUGGAUCACCGUUCGCUAGUUUGGGACCAGCACCGGAGCAGGUUAAUCAUGGACGCAGCGGAUACCUAGUAGAACGUUCGAGGAAAAAGAAGAGGAGCAAUCAUGGGUUCGACUCCUCAAAAGAUGCGAGGGUAGGGGGACCCAUUGUUCAUUCAUCUCGCUCACGGGUCCGCACGACAGAGCUGAGAAAACAUGGUGGAGUUCGGUGGGAAGAUGAUGAUGCGGAGGAGGAGAUGAUGGGCUGUCUCCCGAAGGCGGAGACAAUGAGGAAAAGCAAACAGCUGGGAUUGGAGACAGUCCCAACUCGUUCCGGUGUGAGUUGUUGAAUAUGGUGAAAUUGUACAAAAGGGAUUGAGAAAGGAUAGAGAGAGAGAGAGUCAUAGAAACUAACGACUGCCAUACGAUUGAUCUAAAAGUCCAACUGAGUGUCUUGGACACGACGGCAUUUGACGGUAUCAAGAAGUUGCAUGUGCAUUAUUUUUCUCAUUCAUGGCAACUCAUUUCGUCACUCUGCAGUAACAUAAACGUAAUUAUUAAACGAUGAAAGAACUGUCGAUAUAGAUGCAGAACAUUAUCGCUCUACAUCUAUGUCAACAUCAAUAUGUUUAUCGAGCAACGUCAUUCUGCAUCUAAGUCGACAUCAAUAUAGAUGUCGAGCAUCCAAUGCAAAGCGACGAAAAGUCCAUUAGGCAAUUACGAUGUUAACGUAGAUAUAAAACGAUCAUCACCUCCCAACGACAUCAUUGUUCGUCGAUUGAAACAUUAAGAAUAUAUUUUAUCUUUUGUUUUUAUGUUUCUGUUAGUUAACCGAUCACAUUAAGAUAAAUAAAACUAUAUAUAUAUAUAUAUAUAUAUAUAUAUAUAUAUAUAUAUAUAUAUAUAUAUAUAUUAGUAUCAAAACCAAAAGUUAUUUUAAAUUAGGUUAAUAAGUCUUAUUAAUUUAAUUUAAACAUCUAGAGGCAGUUCUAUGUAUACAAGUUAUUGCAUAAAGUUGGAUUAUAAGAAGUUAUAGAUCAGUUUAGAGACAGUGUGUGAAAUCAUAAUUAAACCACAUCUUUGCCUCAUAAGAUAAUUUUGAACCCAUCUUGGAAGUGAAGGUUUGUUUGGAUGCGUUUGACUCGACGCAUUUUGAGGAAGUAAAUGGAUUGAUGACAAAAACAUGAUUCAUUUCUAUCGUAUAAUAUAAUUUUUUUUUCCCCAACAAAUAGUCAGUCCAAACCACUAGGUAACUAUUAAUACACAAUCCACCUUCAAGAUUAUCUAAUUCUACAGAGAUCGGUUGGUGCUCAAGCAUGCGCAAAACCUGUUCUAAAUCAUCUAGGAGAGCACAGUGAAACAUACUUUAAGAAAGACUGGGAUUUCAGGCCACUGCUGCACUUCUGAAAGCAUCAAAGAUGACAGUAGCAGUUCACAAAGCUUCAAGCCUGCUUCACAUCGGAUCGACGAUGACUCUGAUGCAGUGUGUUAUGCUCCACAAAACUUUACUACUAAGCUGCAGCUUCAGCAUCUGGAGCAGUUGGUUUUCCAACAGAUGCAUAGCCGGCAGAUGCAACUGGUUCCAUAAAUUGGUCGGUUGGUUGCUUCAUCUCCAUGCCUGCAAAAGGUGCCCUCAUCUGAGAGGCGCUCGAGUCUACGUCCAUGGCAGAAGUCGUUCGGGUAGGUGAUGCUGGCUGUACCUCCACAUCUGGAUAAGCAGCCUUGAACCUUGCCCUAAGACCCUCAUCUACCAGCCGCACCCCCUGCAGUUGGUUGCCAAGUGACAGCCACCUGAUUACAAGAGAUCAACCAUUAAAUGGUACAGAAAGAGAAAUACAUCUUCAACAAUAUGAUAAUCUGCAAGGAAUUCACAUAGAGUAACAACAACAUGAAGGAAAAUGAAAAGGGGGUGCAACUUCUAAGUGGAACAAUACAUGCGAGAACAUCAUGUUCAGUGGUGUCAACCAAAGUUCUCCAUGAGUUCACCAAGGAAAAUGAUCAAGAAAUAACUCGGUAGCGGCUUAUACAUGAACCAAUAUGAUAAGGAUGUAUUAAAUGAUGUAUCUUGGGAUCAAAAUGAAAACCAUUUUCACAGGCAGAACUCGAGCACAUAUAUAAAAGCAAGCACCAAUGCAAACACCGAGUAAAAGAUAUGCACAUGUACAAAAGAUUAGCUAAGACCAAGUAGACAUGAUAUAGACUAGAAGGGAAUACCCUGCAUGCGUAUUGUGCAUACGAGCAAACAAUUCCAACUUUCUCGUCCUCGGGCUAAUUCUUUCCAGCAUCGGGUACAUCUGCAGUUCAAGCAUGUAUCAGUUGCAGCUAGCAGCCAGAAAUAUUACAAUGGGCACAAGUGAGCACAUGUCAGAAAUAUACCAAAAAAUAUGAAGAGUUCAGGAAGCAGAAUUUUCAAAUUCAAUCCCUUCAUAUUUACAAAAUUAUGUAAUAAGAUGUUGAUGAAAUCAAGAAAGAAGUAGCUGCGACAAUGGGUCGUUCUCAAACGAGGAGGAAAGGGCAAGAGACCAAAGGGGUUCUUAUAUCCUCACAACUAUGAUGUAUGAUAGAUAAUUUGUAUGUCGAUACAUAUUGUCUGUAUUCAGUUACAUAGAAAACAGUCACAAAAUAGUUAUUACCUCAUCAGGUUUUCGGCUUGUUUCCCGAACUUCAGCUACAAUAACAUCGGUGUCAAUGUUCCUGUUUACCUCAGGAUUACCCUUUAUUCCAACGAGGCAAUGUUCCUUACUAUGAUUGAGCCAAUGCCCUGUGCGUCCAGUUCUUAUAAUCCGUUGAAGCUGAUUGGUCUUCACCCAAAUGAUUUCCUCGACACGUUUGUAUCCCCAAAGCUCUAAACUGGUAAGAAUGUGAAAUGCUUAGAUGAGCUAAUUCAAGAUCCUCCUACCAUCAUGAUACAAGUUGUUCAAACAAAUAAAUUUUGCAUAUUGCUCUGUAGUAGCAGAACAGAAAGAACACAUACAAUGAUCUAAUUGAAUAAAAAAUAGCAACGACUCAUAAUAAUCAUCAGAGAGUCUGAAUCGAUUAUAAUACAACUUCAAUUUUGUUCAACCUGAAAGAAAAUAACAUAGCAAACUAUAACUAAUUCUUGUCACCAUUUAUUUCAUGGAUAUGGUAAAAGUAUUAAAAGCAAGACACAGUGCACUAAAGAGUUGAGAUAACCAUAUCCUGAGAAACUGAAUAGCCUCUUCUUGUAUCAGCGAAAACCACUUGGUUAAAUUGAAUAUUCAAUUGGUGGUCACAUAAACACAAGAUUAGUUUUGAUCAAGCAUGAAGGGAAUAAGUGAAGUUGUCCCGUAAUUAAGCUAAAUUUAUACCUCAGAUUCAGCGAUUUAAAAAGGCGCUCAGGCGCUCGCCUAGGCGCUCGGGAGAGGCGAGGCGAGGCCCGAGUGCCUCGCUAAUCUCCCAUGCGGCGCGCUUCAAACAGGCGCCGCCUGGGCGCUCGCCCAAGCCCAGGCGCUGGGCGCUUCGGGCGAGCGCCUGGGUUAACCAAGGCGAUCGAACCAGGAUUUUAGGUCUGGUUCGGUCUCCGAUGGUUAGUUGGUUCAAUCAAACCAACUAAAAUUGCUAUAAGUGACAACCGAACCCUAACCCUCGCCGUUGUCGCUCCCGCUGCUCGCAAAUGCUGUCGUUGUCGCCGCUCGCCGCUGUCGCCUCCCGCUGCUCGCAAACGCUGUCGCCACUCGCGCCUCCCGCUGCUCGCAAACGCUUCCGCUGUCGCCGCUCGCGCCUCCCGCUACUCGCCGCUGUCGCUGCUCGCCGCUGCCUCCUUACACUCCGCUGCCGCUGCCGCUUCCUCUUUUCUUAGUCAGCAGGCUCAGCACCCCCUUACACUUCCUUCUUCUCUUUCUGUUAACAGUAUACAGUGUACUGUUAACAGUAUACUGUAUACUAUUAAUAUUGUUAGGUUUAUUUGAAAUUAUUAAUUUUCAAUACUGUUAAUAGAUUUUCUUAAUUUAAUAACAUAUUUUAAUUUAAAAUUUUAAAUAAUUAUAUUUAUUAAUUAUAUUAUAUAUUUUUAUAUUUUAGCGCCUCGCUUCACUCGGGCGAGUGCUUGGGCGAGCGCCUAGCGCCUCGGACGUUUUUGGACCUUGGCGCCUUUUGGCGCCUAGUGCUUUUUAAAUCACUGCUCAGAUUGAUACUUGUUUGGUAACUUUGGUUUACGAAUGUAGGGAUUUUGCUUUACACCUUCAUCCAGACUAAUGAUAUACAGAAGGAAAUAAGUCAUUCGACCAUGUUGUUUAAAUAGGUUAUUCCAUUGACUGUAGCCUUGCACUUAAAUAAAUGCAUCCCUUUAACCAGUCAAUAUCAAUCUUACAAGACGAGGCCCUUUAAAGAUUGAUUAUUACAGGACUAUGUUGUAUUCUCAGACUUAAUCUCAAUCCAAAUAGCCCCUUAGUUUUCUUCUAGUAGUAUUAAGUUUGGUCCAAGUUCUAACUUCUAAGUGGUAUGAACUAUCAAGCCUUGUAUCGUGUAGCCAAUAGUCGGUAUGCUACUCUCCACCACUUGAAUGUCUGAUUGCAGAUACAAUUUUUAUCAUCAAAAGAUAGGCUAUGUAAUGCAGCAGAACUUCAAGAUUCUAAUUAAAUGUUAGACCUAUCAACUUGAAUAUCACUUGGUGUCAUGGCCAAAAACAAGUACAGAUGAUAAAAGAUUGAUGAGUAACAUGAAAAAUCAAAAGAUUCAUUUAUCAAAUAACAUUGGCAGAUAAACCAUAAAACACCAAAAUUAGAGUAAAUAAGAAGUGAUAAAGCAGGUUUAAGGUUCAGCUUUACAGGUGAUUAAAAAUAUUCAAUAGCUGCUAUGAGUAGUGCAAGGAACAAAGGAAUGAAGAUCACAACACUUGAAGGCCUAUGCAUGAACAUCAUGUAUGCUUUUGUGUCUAGAAAUUUGUCAGUCAUUGAUGCCUUCAACCAUCUAUUUACCAAAUCACACUAUCAGCAAAUUCUAAGGAAAAUAAAGGAAAUAUAUAUAACUAACCAUUCACGUCCAAGUUCCAUUGCACGCCCGGUGACCCAAAGGAAUAUUAGGCCAUCAGUUUGCAAUGCAGGUACAUUAAGAUUUCUCAUUUCAUCAUCAGCCAUUGUACCAUAUGGCAAUUCCAUAUGAAUAUCCCAAGGAGGGUCUGCCAUGAUAACCCCAAAUUGUCCCAAAAUGUCCAUUCUGAAGUUACGGAUAUCACAGUUUAUCCACUGGGGUUGACCAAGCUCAACUUCUGAACAAUAUUCAGCCCUUCGGGGUUUUAUUGGCUUUGGAGGUGGAAGAUUAGUAGAUCCCAAUAUCAUUGGAGCAUCUGGUGUUUGGUCGAGUUCGUAAUGAACAUAUUUGCAAGUCUGCCAUGAAUAUGUUAAACGAUGUAAACCAGGAAAGGAGAAUGGGAAUUAGUUAAAAAUCAAUAGAAAGUCAAGUUAACCUUUGUAUGACGGCAUGUAUCGAGAAAAGAGCAGUCACCUAAAUUUGUAUCAGUAUGUGGAGCAAUAAUACGGCGGAAAUGAACCUGCUUGCAAAUAAAGGAGAGAUCAAAAACCUUCAACCAAAAAGCAACUAAGCUAAAAAAUAAGGUCGUAAAAUAGUGAGCCUUGAUCUUCUGGAGUACGGCUUCAUGUCAGGAAAGUUGUCAUUGUUGCAAUAACAAGUGAAAGCAUAGGGAGUGCCAAAUUGCUAAAGUCUAAUAACAUAUAACACACAAAGUUACGAAACAAAUUAUUCCAAGCAUUCAGCAAUACCAACUUAGACAUCCAAUAAGGAGAUGAAAACCAAGGAAAACUCGAUUUACAACCAGUGAUAAAAAGACAUAAUGACCCUAGAGAUUCUAGGUGGCUUGCCUGGGAUGCCCACUUGUCAAGUUUUAGUGUAUAUAUCACAAGCAAAAAAACCUACUUCAAUUUUUCAUUCAUAGAAUUGGCCAUAUCAACAAAAGAUUCAAUGUCCUGAAAAUUAUGAAGACUAAAUAAAACUUGGAAGAGGCAAGAAAGGACAUCAGGUCAUAAACCACCAAGAAAUAUAGCAAGAAACUGCCUUUGAUGGAGCUAAUUGCAGGUAGGAUCCACAUAGUCUAUUACAAGUACUUGUGGUCAUCAUUAGGCUCUUAACUUUUUCAUACUUUAAAUAAUUUUAACCUCUUUACUGCUGGUUGUCUUUGAUUCAGUUUCAUAAUCUAAAUCUACUCACUGAAACAGUCUAUGUUUUCUGACACUUGAUAAGUUUCUUCCUGUGCAACUUGAGAUAUCCUCAAUAUGCCAACAAAUAUUUCACCUGCAUUCACACCAAAUACAUUGGCUUGCAAAUGCACGGUUGUUCUUGUAAUUAUUUUUUCUUCUCUUGCAGAAUUGACUAGAAAAAUCAUCUAUUUAAGACUUCAAUGUCAUCAUUAAGACCAACAAAAACAUAUGGCUUUAGUUCUCUAAGAAAGUCUUACUUUGUACCAGGGUUUGCAAUUUCGAUGUGCACCACCCAGUACGAGUGGUACAUACCGAUCCAAGACAAUACCGAUACACAGACCGCCCUCUACCAAGUGGUAUCAGUGUUUUGACCGAUACCACCUUGGAUUUCGACCGUUAUCAAGGCAUACUGGUUGGUACGCCCUGACGUGAUAGAUAAAGGUAUUUUUAAGAUUUUAGGAUAUACCGAUAGUACAUACUAGUACGUACCAGACCAAGCAAAGCUCGGUAUGCCAAUACGAACCAGUAUUCAAAACCUUGCUUUGUACACACAUUGAACAGUUGAUGUAGAUCCUUCAAAUAUUUCAUUUCGAGUGUAGAUAAAGAUGCACUCAACUAAAGCAGACAAGAAAUAGACUAUGCUCCUAGUCUCACACAAGCACAUAGGAUUCAAAGGAGAACCUAAGGUAUGUGCCUCUUGCACCUAAACACACCCACAACACAUGAGGAUCUAUAUUUCUUAACUUUAUAUAUUUCUUCUUCGAGCAACCGGAUGAUCUUAUCAGAGUUUUAAGUUUAUUUCUGAACAUGUGACCCAUCUGAACCAUUAAAGAAUCCAAAGUGCUACGCAGAAAGAUGGAAUUAGGUAAUGGCUUUCUUUGCUGAGGAAUGUUCCCACUGUUGGCAUGGUAGCACCACAUGCGAUGCCAGACGAGCUGAUUUCUGAACAGAUAAAACAGGAUUCACAGAAUUUGCAUCCUGGAAACUGAGAGGAUGUACAGAGAUCCAUAUAAUCUUAAGAUGGUUUACACUGAAUAUAGUACCUGAAAAAUUAUAAAGAAGCGAGAGAAUGACACACCGAGGAACGUUCUUGCUUACACACACUAAGUUCAAAGGUAAACAGGUCUUCAAAAAAUUAGCAACAUAAUAGAUUGAAGAGAUUUAUAAAUGUCAAUAGAAUCCAACUGUCUAUAUCUCUUACUGUUUGCUAUGUUGAGGUGAUUAAAGGAUGCACACAGAACAGUGACACUGACUUAAAGUGUGGUUUCAGAUAUCAUGAGAUUGGUAGAAGGCCUAAUGAAUGUAUUAAAAUUGGAGUUCAUAAAAUUCAUGAUUGAUUCAACUUAGUUUAGUCAAUAAUGCAGCUGUGCCAUAUAUAUGUUGAUGCUUGAGUAAUGUUCAUAUUAAUGAUACCAACUAGAAGGUAACAACCAAAUUUGUGAACUCGUCUCUGUUCACUUGUCUGCACAUGACAAAAUAAGAUAACCAAGAACAGUAAAGCAAAUAAAACAAUGAUAAGACACUUAUAUUAACCUGAUGCAAGUCGUCAAAAUGUAAUUUACAACUAGAACUCCUGACCUUCCAGUAACAUGGCAAAUGGCAAUGAUUAGCAUGCUACUCUUACAAAAUCUCAACUAUAACACUAACCUUAUCACAAGCAACAAAAGAACCAGUUUGGCGACGGCAGUCUUCCUUAGUUAAAUUAGAGCAGUAUUCCUUGAGUUGAGAGCCCCCUUUUGUCUUGAACUGAGAAAAGGAUUGCCUGGCUUAGAGUCGGUAAUGCAAGCAACACUAACCAAUAAAUCAAUGGAAGAUAUCCUUCAUAUUUAUUGAACAGAUGAUAUAUGCCAAGGUCUGCAGAUUUCAAUAUGCAUGUCAAUGCAUGAAGAACUACAUGUCAAAGCACGCUUCUCAGACUAUCAAACAAAGCAAGCCAGGUUACUUUCAAUAUUAAUAUAGAAUAUCAGCAUUACACAUUAAAAUAGAAUGAGAGGUUUAUGAUUGUGAACACAAACUAGAUAUUAGGCCUCUUCCGAAAUGUUAUUUACAAUCCAUUAAAUAUUGCAAGUUGCCAACUCAAGUUGAAAUGGCAACUUCACAGAGAAUUGAUCAAGUUUUCCAAUCAAAUUAACUAGCAUGUUCAGAUUGACCAAAUGGAAGUCCAAUUGUGCCAUGUCAUAACAUGCACCUGAGAUCAAUCAUGUCCCUUCCUUUACAGAAUACUCACUUGAAUGUUUUUCCUCGCAACCCUAAUUAGUAUGAACUAUCUGGAGGCUUAUCAAAAGCCUCAGGCAGAACCUAAACAUCGAAAGGCCACCUCAUACGCCAACCAAGUGUGGCAUUCAAUGAUGUUUUUUUCCAUCACUCAGAUAAACUAGACCAACAAAAAAGACCAAAAUGGACACAGGCUACACUAAAGUCUGUGUUUCUUGUGUCCAAAAUUUGCAUUUGAGAACAACACUAAAACUUGAAACAAAAGUUGGAUCUUCCAGAAUCCUUCAUGAGCAUGACUCUAGUCCAUCUAAAAGCCAAGCUGGAAGCAUGGCUUGUCGUAUAAAGUAUAAACAUAAAAUGUUAAAAGGAUAGAACAAUUGCCAAUUAAGACAAAUGACCACUUUCCUAUCUAAGACAGCAUUCUAGCAGCCACAGUUAAGCAAGCAUUUAUCAUAGAAGUUACAGUUUUGACACAUCCCGAAGGUAAAAUUGCUCUCCAAAUCCGAACCAUUAAGCAGCUGUAAUGACCCCAAGAUUGAUUUAGAAUCAUAUAUCAUCUUUCUUUUACUAUAUGAACUGAUGCUUUAUGUAGAAUCGAUAGGAUGCAAAGAGCCGCAAUAAACUAAAGUGAGGUAUAUCCAAACCUUGGCAGCAACAGCAGUCUCCCUUGCCGUAGGGCGGUGAAUGAGAUCCAAAAUCUCCUCUCCUGUCUUCGACAUCUGCAACUCCCUGAAUGUCUUCUUAUUCAACAAUGCCUCGAGAUCCUUUAGAUCAUCUUCCUCGGAGCUUUGCUUCGGCGUCGCCAGAUUAGGGCCACCCGGAGUGUUACCAGGUCCCAUGAGUGGCCUCUGAAGGGGAGUAAAUCCCAUCAUCCGUGGAAUCCCCAUCAUGCCGACCACUCUAGGCGCUCCCCUCGGACCAACCAAAGGCGGACCACCAGACCCAGGAAAGAUAUGGGGCAUUCCAGCGAGAUGGGUGUCGGAAGGCCCCAUCCACAUGUCCGGCGACGGACUUGGCAUCGUCAUGGAAGUAUUAUCGACUCCGGCCAUUGUUGGGACCUGGGACUGACUAUUCCCCUUGCUCGAGCUGGGUUCCGUCGACGGUGGACGUGGUGGCGGCUGCUGACCCUGCGAAGAGCUCUCUGGAAGCUCCUUGAGGAGUUUGUUCCGAUCGAUGCCCCAAAUCAUCAGCGUGGUCUUCCCGUUCACGGUGAACUCCUCCAGCUGCACUCCACCGCUCUCCUCGGCGAUUCGCCGGAGCGCCAUCUCGACUGCAGAGAUCGGCCCGACAUCCCCACCGAGAUCAGCCAGCGCAGCCUUCUCGGCAGGGGUGGCCGAGGACUGGUCGUUCUCCAGCCGCCGAAGCAAAGCGGCGGAGUCGAUCUCGGUGAAGGGUACGAGCUCCAGGAGGCAGACGGCGACCAUGGUGCGGACGACAGAGAGGCGGUCGCCGCCAGCGGAGCCGCCGCCCUCGGCGCCGGGGGAGGGCGGCGAGGGCUUGGGACGGGUGCGUGGUAAGGUGCGGGCAUCAGGGAGGUGGCGGCGGCGGGGGGUGAGGGGAUGGUGAUCGGAGGGGGGUUUAGGGGUGGGGGAGAAGGGGCGGCGGUUGAAGGAGGAGAUAACGCGGAGGGAGACGUCGAGGGAGCAGGCCAAGUCGGGAACGAGGGAGUGGAGGGAGAAGAGGAGCUCCUGCUGCGACUGGCGGCGGGCCGCGAUGGCGUCCUCCAUCUGUUGGCGCAUCUCCUUAACGGCGGCAACGUCAUCGCCUCCGUCGCCGCCGCCGCCGCCGCCGUUUCGCUGUGGUUCCAUGUCUCUCGCUUUCGAGAUCGAACCGAAACAGCACCGAGGCGCCGACGUACUUACGCUCUCUGCUGCUCCGAUACGGAUUCCGACUCGAAUUCCUUGUGCACGUGCGAUGCAUGCGCUCUCAGCAGGUAUUUAAAUUAUUCCUAGAAAAAAUAAUUAUUAUUUCAAUUAAGAAAAAGUCACGAAUUUUGUUUUGUGUAUUAAAAAUGUUUUUUUUAUUUACAAAUUCUAAAGCUGAGUCUAUAAAAGGAGAAAAAUGGCAUCUUACACUAUAUAUAUAUAUAUAUAUAUAUAUAUAUAUAUAUAUAUAUAUAUUUUUUUUUUUUUUUGUGACAUUUGUAUUCAAAUUUUAAUUCAAUAGAUGAUAGUAUAAUUUGCCUCAUUAUUUGCAAGUAUAAAAAAUAAAUAUUUUUGGAGAGGAAAAGGUCUUUGUGAAUAGAAUUGUUCGUCACAUAUUCAAGACAUGGGCUGCAGCUAUUGUUCCUUGGAAACUCCGUUAAGCUUUCAUGGCUUCGUUUGCUAACGUGUUGACAGCAUUAGCGACUUCUUUGAUCCGUUCUGAUAUCUUGAUCAGCAGGAGCGACGCUACUGUGAUGAUGGACAUAUUUUAGCGCUUCGCUUCACUUAAGCAAGUGCCUAGCGUCUUCGGUGUUUUUGGACCUUGGCGCCUAGUACUUUUUAAAUCAUUACUUUGUUUUUAGUCAAAGAUCAGUUAAGAAUAAAUAGAGAAAACAAUUAGGUAAAUGUAUUUUUGAGGUAAUAUAGUUUUUGGCUAAAACAAGGUUUACAAUUUCGGUCCGUACUAGUGCACCGACCAUACGUUGGUUCAGUACGUACUGAGGCGUACCGACGAUAUGCCCAAAAUCGUCAAAAAUAGUUUUAAAAAUAUCGAAAAAAUAGAAAAAAAAAGUUAUAUUAGGGUUUUUAAGUUAGAAAUAAAUAUAAAUUUAGUAUAAUUUUAGCAAAAAUAAUGUAAAUUAGGAACGAAUAGCAAAAUAAUCUUUUUCGAGCUUUGAGGAGUAGCUUUGUGGUACAUUGCGGAUCGUCCUUUCGUUAAUAUUGAACUAUCGGUAAAGAAAUGAUUUGAAUUAUUAGGGCUUGAUCGAUAUUGACACUAUAGAAUAUUAAUCUAUUAGAUUAUAUACAAUGGUAUAAAAUAUAUUAUAAAUAUAAUUAGAUUUUGAUUAUAAUAUUUGAUCAAUAAAAAAAUAAUUUAAUUAUGAUAUAAUUAUUUAAAAUAUUAAAAUUAAAUAUGUUAAUUACUUAUUUAUAAAUAAAAAUAACCUCAUGCGAAUUCAAGACUACACCAUACAAAUUAGAAGUUAUUGAUAGAUUAUAUAUCACUCACGUUACAUUUAUAGAUAAGAUAAAAGUUUUUUAGAUUACAUCAAAAAAUAUUUAUAGAUAAGAUAAAAGUUUUUUAGAUUACAUCAAAAAAUAUGCAUGAUAAAUUUAAUCUAUUAUUAUUUGAUUUUAAUUUUUAAUAUUAUUUUUUAUAUAAUAAUAAUAAUAUAAUAAUGAUUUUUGUGCUUACAUAUUUUUCAUGAUUUAUCGCUUAAAAUGUAUCACCUCCUGUAUUAUGUUGUUCCUUUCUCCAUGUGGCAGAUCAACACUCCGAGACUUUUUCGUUGACCUAAAAGUGCUUGACACUUCUCUCAACCACCUUUGAUGAGUCGAAGCUCAAUCUCAUGUAAGCAUUACCGAGGUGCUUCUUCGUAUUGAUAAGACGUUGCUUCUUUUUUUUUUUUCAACCUCUUCAUGUGAGAAAAAUACAUAACCUUCGAGGAUCAUCAAUUACCAUUCCGUAUGAAUUUCUUGUUGGUGAACAAAUGUACCGUGACUGAUGAGUCAGCACAAUCAUUAGAGCAUGUCUCAGAGGAUCAAUCGAAAAGAAACAAGUGAUGUAUGAUAAGACCAUGUAAUUAAAGUGACUUUGUCAUGAAGUUGUGAGAGUUUAUACAAGGGAAGAGAGCAGUAGUAAAGUAUGGCAUUCAAAAAUGUAAAGGAUCGACAUCAUGCAAAAGGUAUAACUAUCUUUUCCAUUAGUAAUAUGUUAUUAGAAAUCAGCUGUGUACGCCAAAAAUUGAGGGGCUAAUUAAGUUUAACUUGCACUAUAUUUGAUGACGAAGAAAAGGAAUACAAUAGGGCUCAAUCGAGUCGAUCAAUCCGAUUUAGCUCAACCUAAAUUUUAGAGUUAGAGACAACUACAUCGUACCAAUGAUGAGUGUAUUACUAUUAAUUUUAACAUAAUCAUUUUGAUCAAGAUUUUACAAAAUAAAAUUCGUAAGCUUUGAGUUGCAAUAAAAGCUUUUGAAUUAAACCAAGAAGUUUUCACAUCGCGGAGUCUUCCGCCACAAAAACAAGUUCGAGCACCAACAAUUAUGGUGUGAAGAUUGUGAUUGGCGAGAACAGAAAAGAACUAGAGGAACUGAAAAAAAAAAACAAAGCUACUGAAAAUGAAAGAUAUUUUAACUCAUGAUGACGAAAAAGAUCGGAAGCAUAAGAAGCAGGACGGCAAUCACUAUCUGCAUCUCCUUUUACUCCAUUGCUGCCGAAGAAAUAAUCAGAAUCUGCUACCUCAGAGUUUAAUAGUUGAUAUCUAAACAAUAGCAGGCACCAUGAACAACACACUUCUUGUGACGCCUACUUGCAUACCAAUGGCUGCACCACAAAGUUGUUGAUCCAUCCAUCAAGAACAGAACCUCUUCAAACACGACCCAAAAUAACUCAUAGCAACCAUAAGCAAUUUCGUCAUUGAACCUUGAUAGUUCCUGCAGCUCCUGGAUUUGGAAAUGUUAGGCUCAUCGAACCGGUUCAGAACAUGCUUGAGAAGACACAAGACUAUUAAGCGUUUAAAGACAUUUUAGAGCAAAUAGAAGAACAUGGAAAAGGAAAAAAAACUACGGCACAUCGAAGUCAACCAGUUGGCUCAAAAACAGCAGAACCCAGGGGAACUCCAGGCAAUUGCCAAGCGAAUCUGAAGAAACCAGGAAAGCUAUUAUUGAUAUAGCCAGGUCGAGAAACAUUCAAGUUCUAACUUCCUAGCUUGAAGGCAUCAACAAAGAGACCCAAGCAUACACCAGCUUUCCAGUAGUUCACCAUCACAAUUAAGUUCUGCAACCUCCCUACGGGCGUAGUGAAUGGUUUUCUAUACAUGAGCAUGCCAAUUCCCUCGAUCACAGCCACCACCACGCCAGCCACCAGGACAUCCCAGUCACCGGUCUGCCCUAGGAUUGUUGCUAAAGCAUUGGCUGUGUAGAAACCCAAGAGGAGGAGGAAUAUUUUCAUCGGAAAGUUCUUCCGAGCAGCAUUUAACUUUUCAAGAAGCUGUGCAGCAGCGGCUCGUACAAUAGUGCCCAAUCGAGUCCUGCCAAGCCCUGCAUUAUCCCCUAGGUUCUCUUGACCAUUGCUACUAGGGGAUCCACCUGUAUCCAAGGCAAGGGCGGUCCUCCACCUGUAGCUUCUCAUCUGAUAACUAGUUUUCAAAAGGGGGAAAAAAAAAGAGUCAACUUAUGAAUUAAUAUCUGAUAACUAAAAUCCAGAACAGGAAAAAAUAUAUAUAUAUGCAAUCACUAAAAUACGGAAUUAGGCUGAUUUUUAAACCAUCAUAUCUAGAUAAAUAACCUAAAAUCCAAGAAUUACUGGUAGUCUAUAAAGUGUUCGAUACAAAAAAUGUCUUUGGCUGUCAUGUCAAACGGUUGCCUCUUCCUAUAACAGAAUCUACAUAAGAAGCAUCUUUGAUUGUUCUUAAGAAGAACUAGGCAUCUCUAAUUAAUCUCAGUAAGAAGCAUGUUUACUUCCAAAUGUUGGAUCAGGCAUAUGGAAAUGUCAUAUUAUUAGUCACCCCGUUGCAAUUUCAUAUCACAAUACUUUGAUUGAAUCUUAUGAAACGAAAGGACCACUACAUUGUCAAACCAGUGAAACUUAACACAUUCCAGAUUGAAAAAGAAGAUUAGCCUAGAAGAGAUUGAUGAGGUGCCGACAAGAAUUUAAAGCACUAGCGCUAAAUAAUAAUCUAAAGUUCCACAAAACAACCUACAUAAUCUCACUGUCAGACAUCAACAGAAAAAUUACCACCAUCACCGAAAAUUUUUUGUGAUAAUAAAUGGCAAAAGUAAUAGAUUUUUAGUCAGGUUAGGUAUCAGGAAUUCAUCACAAAACACAGUCUUAUUGCUUCUGCAGCUGGUGAAUGCCAAGAAAAUUAAAAUGAGAAGCUUAUUCAGGAAUGUCAGAUAGUCUCAAUUUUCACUGAUCCAAGUACAGCAUUCAGUCAUGGACUGUGUUGCAAGGUUGCAUCUUCUGCAGUUUUACUUCCUCUUUCAAACGAUCGACAUGAGUGAAGCACUUUCGUUUAGAAAGUGUUUCUCUAACUCAAGUAAAUCACUUACCAUGCAGAACAAUCAUACAAGCUAAAAGUUUCAUCUCCAAGUAACCAUACUGAUGAUAAAAGCUCUUUCAAUCAAACUAAUGGGGAUGAGCAGUGUUCAGCUUGGUUCAGUAAGCAAUGAUUUCUAAAACCAAAUCCUAGCUUCAUUUGAGCUUACAAAACAACUUUGAGGACACUGAGUACAAUGUAUAGAUCCAUUUUAAGCUCAACCUCGACAUGGUAGUCAUCCCGAUCACCAAUUAGCUUCUGAACCAUUGAAUUUCCAAGGACCAUUUUUGGUUUUAUGAUUGAUGGCUUUGAACUUCCAAAUUAUUCCUAAAAUCUUACAAAGAAAGUAAUUUUUCUUGAUGCUUUUCCGUAUUGGGAGAGCAAAAGAGAACCCUAACCACCAUGCGGCUAGCUUUUCGACUAUAAAUAGUAGAGAGAGAGAGAGCGAGAAGAUGAAUCGAGAACAAGAAUAGAACAUUAAAGCUCAGAAUUCUCCAUUGGAAUCCCUAAUUUAAACGCCUACCCAAAUUUCACUCACCCCAUUCAAUUCUCUUUUUCUCUUCUCUUGGUAUGCAUCAUGCGGAGGAGAUAAAGAAAGGCGGCAGACCUCUUCGUUUCUUGGAUGAUGCCGAGCUUCGCCGGGGGCCGGCAAGUACAUGGCGCCAUAUUCCCCCACCGCCAAGUCGCACCGCCGGUCGGGGGGAGAAGGGAAUGCCUCUCAAGGCACUCCGAGUCCACCGACGGCAGGAACCGCUGCGCCAAGAUCGGCGUCAUGCCAACCCCGUCUCGAAAUCUAAAGAUUGUCCAACAAACGCUGCUGCUUCGCGGGCCAAGUGAAAUCUCUGUGCGAGGAUCCAAGAUGCAGCUCGGCCUCAGAUCAUCGAUCGAUCUGACGAACCAAGCCUAUUGUCGUCCCCCUGUCGUCGUCGAACGAAGCGGCCAAUGUUCAUAUGGGCCUUUAACGGACCAAAGGAUUCUGUUAAUGGGCCGAACUGAAACAUUCGUUUCCUAACCGAAACAUUCGUUUCCGUUCGCCAAAAGCAUUUUGCCACCAAAGCCUAUUCGUUUCCUAAGACCGUUCAAUGGACGCCUAAGAUGCAAGGCUAUUCUUCCGAGCACGCUUGCCAUCAUUGUGCCGGUUGUUCACCGCAGGAACUCGGCUCGUCCUUGUAAUCAAAGCAGGCCAACCAAUGCAGUGCCCGAUACAUGUCUCAGAAGGAUAUCUUCUCAUGCCAUCCGGUAGUGGUCCAUCAAUCCUUUACUUGAUGGCUUUCUUGCAGAACUCUGCACAACAAUGGAUAUCUCCACGAACUGUGUACUGGUCGUGGUAAAUGAGACUCCCUCCCACAAGCCACUCAUGUUUUGCUGUGAGGAGUCUUGGCAGAAACAGGAGAGAAACUACAUGUUUCUCUCCUUUCUGGAUAAUGCUAGACCUUCGAUACGAGACAGCAGUCAACUUCCUGUUCUCCAGCAAACGAAGAUGGUGCACCCCAUGCAUUGGAUUCACAUGCCGAUUCACUGUUUCUGAAGGGGCCCCUCGAUGGAAGAAGGAAGAGGAGCAACAGGGAGAUCAUUCUAUCAUGACGUUGUCUUGUUCUGGUGUCUUGGAACUUGGUGACUGAUGUUGAUCGAAGUCCCCUCUACAUCUUCCAUCUUUCAUAUAAGACAAUCGGAAACAAGGCAAGCAGAUCAAUCAUCAAAAAUGAUAACGCCAUUGUUUUGAUUAGGUAAAAUCCGUCAGCACCUCCUGUUCCACCACAAGCUUAGAUCGUAGAAUUCAUAUCAUUAUCAUUAUAGGAGAUGAUUCAGUUCAACCCUUUUAGUCUUUUUAGAAUUAGCUCUUUAAUUUUUGGACCCCUUUCUCUCUCUCUCUCCUUGAGGCUUGUUGAAUCUACAGCACCAAACAGAGAAGAAGCAGCAGCAGCAAAGAUAGUGAGAGCAUGAAAUAAGAGAUCCGACAAGUUCACGUGUUGAUUCUUUGUCACUCGUACGUGAGAAUUAAAACAGUGAUAACAUGGCGUCGGCACGAGUACGUUCGUCUGCUAGCUAGCGAACGCUGAAGCUCUGCGACAGUCCAAUCGGGCCCUCGGCAAACCAUUCAAUGCAGCAGCUGUAGAAUACCUUUCAUUACCCAACCUAUCCUUCCCUCAGCUGAAUCAUUGGAUACGGCUUGCGUCGCAUGCUCACAGCUUGGAUUCCCUUCCAUUCCAUGUCGUCAUGCUGAUCAUCAUGAUCCAUCCAUUAUUACCUCUUAAAGGAGGGGGGAAAACUAUGCGAUACGUAGUAGAAUGCAAGGCGUACUAGAAUGGGGUAAGAGAGAGAGAGAGAGAGAGAGAGAGAUGCGACGACAGCAAAUCAAAAGGUCAUGAAUGCGUCAAUAAUGCUGAUGAAAACGAAGGACUUUGGUACGAGCAUCAAACGGAGACGGCAAUGGAUGUUCCUUGACUGGAAACUCGAAGGGUAGACGUUCCAUUUACUGGCGUAAUUGGCGGACCUCGAGUGGCAUGCAGACAAGCAACAGCGUCACCAGAUCAUCAAAAGCAUGUGAGGUUACAUGGAGUGGGUGGCACGCCUUACUUAACGCCUACCUAUCCCUGUUGGCUUAUGGUGAUCACAGCAUGGGAGGUCCCUGUGGGAAAGACAAUUCGAUGGGGAAGAUGAACUUAGGCAGCAUGUGAAGAACAGACAUCGUAGAGAAACUUGGAUGUCGCUCACCUUCGGUAACAGAGCCUUUAUUGUAUGAAAUAAGUAGCCACGUGUUGGUGUCAGCAUCAAGACGAAGAAGGAAUCAUUCCCCAUACCUCAUCCCUAGGGGAAUGUUUGCAGAGGACCCACAUGUGAGUGGCUUCUUGGUAAUCAUGCAUGGAGAUGGUGUGUGUGGGGGGAAGGAAUCAUUAGUGUGGGGAAGCCAAGCUUGCAUCAGUCUAUGUUACAUGAGGCGAGGGGAAGGGAGGGGCAGAGGGGAUGUGUCUUCCAAUAUCAUAAUGGAAGCAGAACAGUCGCCUAACACACACACACACACACACACUCGAGUAUAUGUAAUCCAUGCGAAGGGGAAGAAGUACUUCGAGGGGGUGGGGGAAAGGGGAGUGCGGCCAUACCGACUUAUUCCUUGGCUCUCCGCUGCUUCUCUGAGUGCGUUCACAGCUGGAGGAAUCUCGAUGGGGAUGAUGAGACAUGACAUCUCAGACCGGACGCAGAAGGGAAAGGAAAAAUGACAGAUAAAAAGCCAGUGAAUACCAUGAAUGCUAACGCACGUUGUAUCCUCAACCCCUUGUUCCGAGUGGUAGUAACAUAAACAAAGAAGUGGGUGGGUAGUUUUCGCUUUUGCCCUAAGCUAGUUCUGGUCCAUGCAAAGUCCACACUGUUGCUACAGUAUGAGCUGAAUACCAAAUCCAUGAAAGCACAAAGGAUCCCCAUUCUUCUCCCAUGCUUUUCAGUCUGUGGUGCAAUGAUCCCUACCAGCAAGAAAAGACACCCUCCCUCUUGGAGCCAACCCAAAAAGAAGCUUCACAUGUCCAUGGUGACGAGAACAGGGAGUAGUGAUGGAAAGAAAUGGAGGAGAAGGAACCUCAUGUAUCUUCUUGUCCUCUGUUAGUCCUCAGGAAAUCCCGAAUAAAGUGGUUCAAUACCAUCAUCUGAAACCAGAGCAGAAAGUAAAUACACGCUCGAAUUUUAGCUUUUGCUUCUUGGAAUCAAGGAAUGCUUCUACCAUGAGCCUCCUCCGCCCAUCAUCCCGUUCCAGAAGCCAGGAGGAUGACCACCUUGGCUCCGGUUGUUCUCGAACUCAGCAGUGCUUGUAUGGACUCCUGGCUUCAGGUCCUCAAAAGGGAACAACAGCCUUCCACCGGCACCCUCCUGCAGCCCCUGCAAUGAUUCAUACCCACCGGUACCCCCUUCUCCUCCCCCUCCGUCAAUGCCUUCCAUCGGGAAGCUAAGGGCAGGAGCCCUGAAGUCCUGCAACCCGAACCCGGUUGGGUAUUCCGGCAGCGUCAUCGGCACGAAUGGCCCAAUCCCUCUUGCGGUCAUACCACUGCUCAGUAGCUCCAUGGCAGAGAGAGCACCAACAGCAUUGCAUGGGUUGCUGCUGUUGUCGGUGUUGCUACUGUUGUUGUUGUUGUUGACUGUAGUGCUCUCCAAGCCGGGGAAGUCAUUGAACUCAGGGAGUGUAGGGUGAGGGAAAGCCAGGUUCAGGUCUUGUCCCUCAUGGAACUUGUGAGAAGCAGAGAGCGAGAUGGGAGGGGGGACGAAGUCGGUUGGGAGCUUUUUAGGGUUUGACACUACUGCAGAUGUAGCGGUGGCGGUGGAAGAGGUGAUCAUGGAGGCGGCGGCGGCGGUGGUGGUGGAGGAGGAGGAGACGGAGGACCGCUUGUUCUUUCUCGAGCCACCGCCUACAGGAACGUUUCUGAGAGACCCACCCUCGGUCCAAUAUCUCCUGCAGGUCUUGCAGAAGUACCUGGGCUGAGUAAGGCUGUAGUUGUUGUAGUAGCAGAACUUGGUGUUGGUGGAGUUGCACCGGGGACAGCUGAGCGCCUGCCCCUUGUGCGGCCUGGCCCUCCUCUCCGUCACCUGCGGCCUGGCCGUGGUGCAACUAUUACUCCCGCUGGUGGUGGCGGUGGAAGACACCAUCUCCGCGGGCUUCACCAGCCCUAUUUCCUGACAACACCCACACCCCCCAUAAGGAACACUAGACGUCACCAAAGAACUUUAGCAAACACAGACUACAGAUAGAUAGGUUUCUUGAGAUCAGAAACGAUGUGAGGUUAAGAAAAAGAGAUGGAAAAAGAUCGAAACAAAGACAAGAUGAAAGGGAUAUCAGAUGCACUUUAUUCAUCAACAAUGUCAAAGCAAAGUGGCCUUUUUCAUGUCACUGCUUUUAUUGCACGAACUGCGGAGGGGGGAGGGAGAAGCAAAAGGUAUUCCAGAGAGGAGGAGGCACGAGAGAAUUAAAAGCAGAUUAGGAGAGGCGAGGGUUGCAAGCUUCCAACACAAAGAUCCACAUCAAUUUCAACACAGAGCAUCAGGUCCUCCGACAUCCACACCCAGCGACAUAAGACCGAAGAGAUCCCAAAAGCCAACCACGGAGUCACACCCAGAUCUCGAGUCGUUAGAUGUACGUACCUGAUGCCACUGAGCAGUAUCCAUGGCGGCGCUCUCACAAGGCGUCAGGAUCGCCAGGAAGAAGAAGAAGAAGAAGCAGCAGCAGGUGGCCGGAGAGAGAGAAAGAGAGGGAGAGCUUAGAGAAGGGAGCUAUGACGGUGGUGCCGGCACGGAUGGACUUGAGGGAGAGCAGCCAGCGAUGGGAUUCCAGUCGUCCAAAAGUCGUAUUAUUCUCGGGCUGGUAUUUUAAUGCCACCAUUUCCAUUUGCGUGGGCGUCUUGUCGAUUGCUGCCUGUUCGCUUGUCCCGUCUGAGUGGAUUGCAGUGUGUGAUUCCACCACACUGCGGCAUACGGUGCAUCGGCGCCGAGGGAAGUCGGUGGCGUGAUCAGCACGUGUUUCCAUGGGAGACUAUCACCGUCGAUCCUCCGACGUCCGAUCAUUAGUUAUCGACCUGCCAAAUGUCAUUAGGUGAAUGUAAUCGAUUGAUUAAGGAGUUAACGAGGGGCCUUUAUGGGUACAACAAAGUGGGGCCCUCGCAGAUAAGUAGAUGGCGGUGAUUAACCAAUUAGAAAACACAUAAAUCAUUAGGGCCUGUCACCAGCCAUCAUUCGCCAUCAAUUGGUUGUUGGACACGCCAUCAUCGAUGACAUUCUCGAUUGAUCGGACCCAACGCUGGAGGGAGGACUUCGGUGGGUCGUUGUGAAGUUAUCAUCUUGGCUUAAUGGAAUCGAUCCUUCUCGUCGACUCCUCUCGAGUCCAAGCAAGAGCGAAGAAAAUUGUGGCAAUCAAUAUUUUUAUCCCGUAAAAUUCGAAUCUAAACUAAAUACGAGGGAUUGAAUAGUAUUUAAGGAAAUCUAUUUCAAAUUAACAGACCCAUCACGCAGUUUAUCUCGAGAGAUCUCAGGCAGAUGUUGGCGUGACAAAGCUCUGAGUCCAAAUCCUGGACAAGAAUAUAUUCGAGGUCAAGUCCAAAUCAAGAUGGAGCGUCUUGACAUCAACAAGUCUUCUGUCAUUUUGCGUGUAUCAGAUGACCAUGAAUCUUGAAUCGCUCGGCCAAUUCGUCGGUGAUGUCACAUCCUAAGCAUCUCAGUUUGUGUGGCACUGUCACACAUUCCGGUUUCACAUACGUGUAUGGCUAAUCAACAUAGAGCGCGAGGAAGGGAGGCCUCAGGGAAAAGGAAGCUACAGUUCAUCAACUUGGAUCACAUACAUACGUCAAAGAGCAAAAGUUUAUUACUAGGAUUACGAUCAUGUCAAGAUUUGGAUUAGAACUCAGUUCUGAGGAUGCAUGUUGAGAUGUUAGGUGGUGGCCAUUCAUGGCAGAAGCUUGCUUAAAUGGAUGUUGGUCAGCACUGCUAUAAUCGUUGGCAAUGAUGGUAGGUAAGAUCACUAACGUUGCUGCUCGAAUCCCAGUACAAGGCAUGCUAUAGUUUUAGCCGAAGCAUGCAUGUCUUUUGUUCCAUGGCGAUGACUCGAGACAUGUUUGCAGACUUCUGGGCAAAGCUGGCCUGCACAUCAAAGGAUGAACAGUUCCAAGUCUCAUCAUCCGUGUCCGGUUCGCCUGGAUUCUUCGCUAGUGGAGCACUAGCGGAGGACGUGUAUCAGAUCGAAGUGUUUCUUCAUCCGUGUCCCCAUUUGUUACGAUCCGAUUCGAGUCUUAAUGUGCUACAGUCAUCAUCGUGCUCGUCUUCUUUCCCAGCGGCCAUCAUUCUCCGCGGAGUUCUCGACUGUGGAUAUGGAAGUUGUGGAGUGCAGACUUUCCAUGGAGUGGUUCAGCUUCCCACACGUAGGCGUGCACUUCACCUCCCAAUGGAAUGGCUGCAGACCAAAUCCAUCGGUCAAUGCUGUCUUGCGACUUAAAUUAUUGCUGUGCUGUGGAUUUUGUCUUCCAUUGGUUUGUUGUGCCACCGUUUGAGACUCAGUGGAUGGGUGGAUAUGUAGCAGCGUAUCUGAGCCGGCGAAGCUUUCCACCGAAGAGAUGGCCAUCAACCACAGGUCACAUCGCUGUGUUGUUUCCCCUUGUUUUGGUGCAGUAAACACGGAGCGAGUGGUCUCCUUCCAUCGUCGACAUCGGUUAGCUAAACAAAUCGUCAGACGGUCAACCAUUUAGAUGUGAAUUCCACGCGUUGCGAAAUAUUUUUCCUGCCUUCUGCAUCCUCGAUCGUGGACGAGUUAGACCCGUUACUGUGUUGGAAAAAAAAAAAGUUAUAGUGAAAUAAUUUUUUUUUUCAUUAUAUUAACCGCUAUAUCAAAAUGUAUUCCUCAUAAAAAAAAUAUAAAUUUAUUAUCAAAAUAUAGUAUAAAUAAUAAAAUAAUAAAUCAAUAACAAAAUGAGACACGGACCGUAGUCCAUCUCAAACUUUCACUAUUACCAAUAAUGAUAAUAGGUUUGCAAUAAGACUUCUCUAGAAUAACCAAAUGAUCACAAUAACAUAUGAGAUGAUAAAGCUUUCCACCAAAGAGAUGGCCAUCAACCAUAGGUCACAUCGCUGUGUUGUUUCCCCUUGUUUUGGUGCAGUAAACACGGAGCGAGUGGUCUCCUUCCAUCGUCGACAUCGGUUAGCUAAACAAAUCCUCAGACGAUCAACCAUUUAGAUGUGAAUUCCAUGCGUUGCGAAAUAUUUUUCGUGCCUUCCAUCCUCAAUCGUGGACGAGUUUGACCCGCUUGCAGAAAAAAAAAAAGUUAUAGCAGAAUAAUUUUUUUCAUUAUAUUCACCGUUAUAUCAAAAUGAGUUCCUCGUCAAAAUAUAAAUUUGUUAUCAAAAUAUUAAUUUGUUACAAAAUAUAACAUUAACAGUAGAAUAAUAAAUCAAUCAUAAAGUGAGAUACGGACCGUAGUCUAUCUCAAACUUUCACUAUCACCAAUAAUGAUAAUAGGUUUACAAUAAGUCUUCUCUAGAAUAACUAAAGGAUCACAAUAACAUCAAGAACAAAUAUCUUGAAACAUUAACAUAUCAUCAUCGUCAAAAUGGAUUUUAUAAAAAGAAAAUUUUAGAUCUCACAAAGUGGAUAUAGCGGGAAAGCAUUUUAGAGAGAACAAAUUAUAGAUCGGUACCGUUAAGAUGUAGAGCUUAUUGCAAGGAUUCUUCAUAUAAAUUUGAUCCAAAAUCAAUGAAGUUUUGUCGCUCGAUCAUCUAGCAAAAACCCUCAAAAAUCUUAACUUUUGCUCUUUUUCUCUCUCUCUCUCUCUCUUUCUUUCUCAUGCAGCCACUAUUCCCUCGCCGUAUGCACGCCUCGUUCGCUGCCCUCACUAAGCAGUCUCUUUCUUUUUUUCUUUUUUUUUAUAAUAAAUCAGAUUUAGGUUUACUGCCCAAAUCAUCUAGUCUAAGCCCACAUAUGGACUGGAUCUAACAAUUCUCCCCCUCCAGCUCCUAUGACGGGCUGUACUAAGUUCGUUUUUCGUCUACAUGCUUCAAGAUUCUCCUUAAGCAAAGACUUUGUCAACAUAUCUGAUCCAUUCUCAUUGGUAUGCAUAUUUUUUCAAGUGCAAUUCUUUUAUCUCAAGUACAUCACGAAUGUAGUGAUAUAUAACAUAAAUAUGCUUGGAUUUAGAAUGUUAUAUUAAAUUCUUAAAGUAAUGAAUGACGCUUUGAUUAUCACUAAAUAGUAUAUCCUUCCUAUUUCAAGCCCAAUUCCUAUAUAAACUUUUUCAUCCAUGAAGUUUUCUUGCAUGCUUCAAUAAUUGCUAUAUAUUCUGCUUUUGUGGUUAAGAAAGCAACAUAAUUCUGUAACUUAGACAGCCAAGAGAUUGCUCCCCCUAUAAAUAUAAUCAAGAAUCCCGAAGUGAACUUUCUGGAAUCAAUAUCACCUACCAUGUCUGCAUCUGUAUACCCUUCUAGCAUAGGUUUAUCACUGCCAAAACAUAAAUAUAAUCUGGAAGUACCUCUUAGAUAUCUUAAUAUUUAUUUCACGACUACACAAUGUUCCUUACUAGGAUUAGAGAGAAAUCGACUGACAACUCCAACUACAUGAGAUAUAUCUAGCCUAGUAUAAACCAUAGCAUACAUCAAACUGCCUACUAUAGAUGAGUAAGAUACUUUGAAUAUUUUUUCUUUUUCUUUCUCACUUGUAGGACAUUGUUUCGAACUAAGCUUAAAAUGACCUACAAGUGAAGAACAAACUACUUUGACUUUACUUAUGUUGAAUCUUUCAAGAACAUUUUUAAUGUAGAUCUCCUAAGAUAGCCAAAGCUUCCAUUUCUUCCUAUUACGAAGAAUCUUCAUACCAAGUAUUGUUUUAUCGAUCUUAAGCCUUUCAUGGUAAAAGACUUACUUAGUUUUCUUUUAAGCUGUUUAAUUUUACAAACAUCAUAGUCAACAAUCAACAUAUCAUCAACAUAUAGUAGAAGAAUAUUGAAAUCAUCAUCUGAAAACUUCUUUGUAAACAUACAAUAAUCAGAUAUGGUUCUAUUGCACCCUCGGCUCAUCAUAAAGGAAUCAAACUUCUUGUACCACUAUCUAGGUGCUUGUUUGAGUCCAUAUAAGCUUUUCCUGAGCUUGCACACUAUAUUUUCUUUUCCCUUGACUUUGAAUCAUUCUAGUUGCUCCAUUAAAAUUGCUUCUUCUAAGUCACCAUGAAGAAAUGUUGUUUUCGCAUCAAGUUGCUCAAUUUCUAAAUUUAAAUGGGCAACCAAACAAAGAACAACUUGGAUAGAGGAUAUUUUCACCACAUGAAAAAAUAUUUUUUCAAAGUAAAUACCUUUCUUCUGACUGAAUCCUUUCACAACUAGUCGUGUCGUGCCCUGUAUUUUUAUUGUGAGUUAUUAUUUUCGGUCUUUAAUUUAUAAACUCAUUUAUUCUUGAGAGCUUUCUUCUCUUUAUGCAACCUUAUCAAGUCAUAGGUGUGGUUCUCAAGUAAGGAUCUCAUUUCUUCUUGCAUAGUUUUAACCCACUUAUUCUUAUGCUCAUGUAGAAUAGUUUCUUGGUAAAUUUCUGGCUCUCCCUCGUUAGUAAGUAUAACAUACUCAUGUGGAGAAUAUAUGAUAGAUGGUUGUCGCUCUCUUAUGGAUCUUCUUAAUAGAAUCUCAACCGAUGGUGGAGAUGCUUGUUUAGUUGGUUCAACAUCAUCAACUAUAGGAGUAUCAUCACUGGUAUUCUCACAAUAAUCUUCUUGUUCAUCUCCCCCAUGAUUAUCAUGAACUACAGGUGAAGGAACUAGACUCAAACUCUAAGGAAUAUAAACAGAGGUUUUUGGCUUCUCAACUUUAUCACCAUCAUCAAACAAUUGGUCUUCAGGAAACACAACAUCUCUGCUUCUAAUAAUCUUCUUGUUCAUUGGAUCCCAUAAUCUGUACUCAAACUCUUCAUGACCAUAUCCCAAGAAGAUAUAUGCUUUUGCCUUAUUAUCAAGUUUGGACCUCUCAUUUGUGGGAAUAUGAACAAAUACUUUGCAUCUAAAGACUCUCAAGUGAUUAUAAGAUAUAUAUUUUCCUUUCCAAACUCUCUUUGGAACAUUACCUUCCAGAGGAACUGGUGGAAAAAGAUUUAUAAGGUCAAUUAUAGUUCUCAUGGCCUUCGCCCAAAAUGACUUAGGUAACUUGGCAUGAAAAAGCAUAAACCUAAUUCUUUGUUCAAUGGUUUUGUUUAUCCUUUCUGCCACACCGUUCUGUUGAGGAAUUUUAGGAACUAUUUUCUCAAGCCUGAUACCAUGGAACCUGCAAUAAUUCUCAAAAAGAUCCCUAUACUCGCCAUUAUUAUCUACUCGAACACACUUUAGCUUCCUGCCAGUUUUUCUUUUAAUACUGACAUGAAACUCUUUGAAAACAUUGAGUACCUGAUCUUUAGAUUUCAAAGUAAAAGCCCACACUUUUCUAGAAUGGUCAUCAAUAAAAGUAACAAAAUAAAGAGCACCUCAAAGAGUUCUAGUUUGCAUAGUACAAACAUCAGGAUGAAUCAAAUCAAUAAUAUAUGAUCUUCUAGAUCAUGGAUAUGAAUGAAAGAUGACUAUGUGUUUUCUAACUAAGAACCACUUUCUAGCAAGAGUUUACAGUCCAUUCUUGUUGAUAUGACUAAGCCUCUUGUGUCAAAGAUUUAUACUUUCACCAUUCUGAAUUGCAUUAAUCUCUCUUUUCUGUAGCUUAGUUUCCAUGACAUAAAAAGAGUUAAACUUCUUUCCUCUUGCCACAAUUAAAGAACAUUUAGUGAGUUUUCAUUUGCUUUCACCAAAAUAAUGUGUAAAUCACUCAUUAUCAAGUCUACCUAUAGGUAUCAAGUUAAGACGAAUAUCUAUAACAUAUCUGACAUCUUUGAGUAUCAAUUUGCUCUCAAUACGGGUCUCUAAGUAGAUAUCUCCAAUACCCACAAUCUUAUAUGUACCAUUGUUUCCCAUUCUAACGUUACCAAAAUCACCAAUAGUGUAAGAUCUGAAGAAAUCAUCAUCAGAAGUAACAUGAAAUGAAGCACCAAAGUUAAUUACCCAGUUACUAUCCUAACCUACUAAACUGAUUUAACCAUCAUCACAAACAAUAAUGAUAUCGCCUUCAGCAGCAACUGUAUUGAUCUUUUUCUCAUUUUUCUUUAUUUCAUUCUGUUCUCGCUUCCAAAACAUACACUCUUUCUUCACGUGACAUGGUCUGUUACAGUGAAAACAUCAUUUAAUAUCUUUUCUAGACUUGGAUAUUCCUCUAUAACCAUGUGGAUUUCUGAUAUGAAUUCUUCCACGUCUUUCUUGUUUUUUAGUAACAAAUGAACCAGAAGAAGAUUCUUCCUAUUCUUUCCAUCUAGCAUCUUCAUUUAAUAAACUGUCUUUAACUAUAUCUAUAGUUAAAGUCCCCUUAGGCAUGGAGUUACAAAUUGUCACCACAUACGUUUCCCAACUUUCUGGUAAAGUGCUGAGAAGUAAUAAUCCUUGCAUCUUAUCUAUAUUCAUUUUCAUACAACCAGCUUGUUUAUAAGACUUUGAAAUAGACUUAUGUGCUCAACAAUGUUACCACCAUCUUUAUACUUCAAAUUUACAAGUCAGGAGAGAA
rnacentral:lncRNA from 1 species